rnacentral:lncRNA from 1 species
GGUAGAUAACUGCUUGCAUUUAUUAAGCAUUGUACACUUGGUUCAUUUUAUAACAUAGCACUGUUGUGUUGCAAUAAUAUAGUGGUUGGUUGGCUCGUCAUAAAUAUAUACAUAACCAUAGCCAUAAUUUAGUAUAUUUUCCUUCUCACUUUAUUAGGUUUGUUCACUCGUUAAUUAGUUAGGCUUUUAUUUCUUGUAUAGGUGUAUGAAGCUAACAACUAGUCAAGUACAAUACUCCUUACGUUUUAUAUUAUUUGACUCUCAUUCUGAAAAUAGUUUUAUAUUUUUAUUUAAUUUGUAAAAUAAAAAAAUAAUUAUCACGUAUGGAGUACAAUUUUUUCUUAUUCUGAGUAGACAAAUUAAAUUUUUUACAACAUCAUUAAUAUAAUUAAUUUAACAACAUACAUCUCUACCUUAAAUUUUCUUCAAGAUCGUAUACAUAUAUAUUAAUCGGAGUCAAGUAAUAUGUAACGAAGCAAAAAAGUACUAUGUUUUGUUGUUCAUACACAUGAAUGAAAGCAACUGAAACACUUCAAUGAAUGCAUCCAAAGCAGUGUCAUCGGAUAUGUCUGGUCAAUUGAUGGAUUUGAUAUUUUUAACCUAUCGAGUUUUAAUAUAGACAACAUAUACCACACACUAACCCUUAACCGUGUUUGGUUCUUAUUGCUGUAUUUUUUUUUAGCUAUGAACAUUGUUUGAUUUCAUAAGUUCAUAGAGAAUUAGUGUUAUAGAAAUCUCAUAAAAGCAUUUACACUUUACACUUACAUAGAUAAUUCUUAAAUAUGUCAUCUCGUAAAUACACUAUUCGAUUUACCACAUAUCAAACUUAGAAAUUAUUUAAAAUCUUAAUGUCUAACAAAGUUGAUUCAUGAAAAUGUACUAUAAAGUUAUUUUGAUAAAGUUGAAUUGUCAUCAAUAUCAUUGUUUGAUCUUCUUGAACUUAGAUUUGGGUUCUCCAAGUUAUCGUUACAAUGACUUGUGAUCAUAAUUUCAUUACCCUUAAUGAUCUUUUAAAUACCUCUCUAGCACAUGACUUAACAUAGCCAAUUAUAUAUGAUAAUUCUAUAAGAGAAAAAUUAUCUAACUAACUAACUAACUAUAUAUAUAUAUUGUAGCUUUAUUAUUUAUGAUAAGAUUUUUCUUUAUACAUAAUAUUUUCAGCUCUUUCUAUUGUCGUUUGACUGUCACCAGAGGCGUAUCCAGGAGGGGGUCACUGGGUUCACGUGAACCCAUGCUCCCCUCCUGAAUUCAUAAAUGGUAGUGUUAUAUUUUUAAAAAUAUAUGUAAACAUAGAUGUGUGAACCCACACUUGAAGUAUCAUAUAAUGUUGUGCGAUGAUGAUUGGGUGCACCUCUGAGGCUAGAAAUUUGGAUCUUUCAUUUAUCUUGUUUUAUUUUCUUUCUAAAAUUGGGUAACACCUCUCUAAGUGGUUUGGAUAGAUACAAAAUAAUUUUGGACCUAUAAUUUUAAAAUUUGAAUGAUUUUCAGUGAUAAGAACCUAAAUGUUAAACUGAUCAAAUUUAUUUCUUAAUCCAUCUUUUCGUAAUAGUGCACCCAUCCUCUCAAAAUCCUGGAUAUGCCUCUGUGACUGUCACAAUAUAUAGGAGAAUGAUUUGGGCCAAAAUAGAAAGUUUUACCUAGAAUAUCAUCGAUAAAAGAUGACAUUGAUUCUCAAAUCUCAAGCAUGCUAGAAUGUAUACAUGAAAAAUUAUAUGGAAUUUUUUUUUAUAAACAAAGAUACUUAUAUUAAUAACACUCAGUAGGUGUUUGACCAUGCAAUAACAUAUCAUGAUAUGAAAUCAAUGUUUGGACAUGUGAUUUCACGCUGAUUUCAUCUCAUGAUUUUAUAUUAUGAGAUGAAAUUCCAUAUUCUUCAAAAAUCAUGAUUUGAGAAUUUCAUAUCAUAAUUUGAGAUUUUUAAAUACAAAAAUUGACCCACAAGUAUAUAUUUUGUUAAAACACCCUAACAUACUAGCCAUUUAUUUCAUAUGUAAAUAAAAUUUAUAAUCAUAUCAUUACUUUUUAAAAUUUGUUAUUCUCACCAACAUAAAAUUUAUUAUUACUUUAAAUCAAUUCUUUCUUUAUCAUUUAUAUUAUUAUUUUUUAUCAAAUUUAUUUAUUACCACUACUUUAAUGUUUAAUAAAAUAAAUAAAUUUUCAUCUAUAUUGAGUGAACAAGACUGGCCACAAUGGCUAAUAAUUUAUUAUGUGAUUUUAUAAGUUUUUGUUUAUUUGGUAAGAUUAAAUAAAUUAUUGAGACAUUUUUAAUAGUUCUACAACUUAUGAGAUUCUUAUGUUUAUGAGAAAAUACACAACACAAAAAUUCUAUAUUGCAUAUCCAAACAAAACUUCAACUCUAUUUCAUAAUUUCAUAUUAUGAAAUUCAUAUCACAUGGCCAAACGGACCCUUAAUAUGCAUCAAUACAUGAUAGAGCGAAUUGACCGUUAUUUAGUAUGCGGGUAGGGGGUGACUACUAUGAGUAUUACAAGAGUUUUCCAUAGUUGGAGACUUGCUGUAAAUUUAUAUGGACUUAUUUACUUAUCUAGCUGGUCAUGCAAAUAUUAUAUGAUCUUAAAUUCUAAUAGAUAUAUUUAGUCCAUGUGUGUCUCCGACCAUGUCACAAUCUAGCAUUUGCAAAGCACAUAAUGGCACAAUGUUCAGAUUAGUCAAUUAAACACAUCCACCUCCAUAGUACUAAAUAAUUUACAUUUCAAGUUUUUGAUAAUUAUUGUUUAUCACUUAUGAUAAGUAAUGUUGAACAUCAUACAUCUCAUGUUUACAUUUAUAAACGAUCUUGUUAGCUCACUCAUAAUUAGACACUUGCAAUUAAUAGAAAGAUCGUAUUAUGAAUUAAAGACUAUAAAGUAAAUACAUUAGAGAGAUAUACUAAUAUAUUAUUCAACUUUGUACUAAUAUAUAAAUGAACUGAAUUAACUUUCUAUUUAUUAAAAAAAUGCUAGGAAAAAAAAACAAAGUUCACUACGUAUCAUGCAUGAUGCGUCAUUCACGACACAUUGUAAUAUAUACCUCUGCAUGCUUGAACUACUUGUAAGCUAUCUGUUUGAGUUAUUUAUAAGAUAUCUGCUUGAUUACAAACUUAUCUUUGAGAUUAUCUAUUUAAAUCAACAUCCAUAAUACGUGUUGGAAAAUAGGAGAACAUAUAAAGUAGUUUUGAUGAUUGAUAAAGUGAACAUGGUUCACUACUUGUUGUCUUAUGCGCACUCUAUCAAGUGAAUCAGGUUCUCAGACGUGACUGCAGACAAUCUAUACAAAUAUGAGAGAUUGCGGCAAAGAAGAAAAAGUGCAGAAAUAAAUGAGUAAAAAAAUAAAUAAAGAAAGAGUUGAAAUGCAAAAGCAAAGAAGGAAAGAAAUAAAGAAGGAAAGAAACAAAUAAGGAAAGAAAUAAAGAAGUAGCAAUUCAAGUCAAAUAAGGAAAGAAGUAAAUAUAGACAAGUUCAAGAAGGAAAAGAUUUGUUAUUCCUUUCCUUGUAGAAGUUGAUGAAGGCAAAUCAAACUCUAUAAAAGGUUCAAGCCAAAGAAGAAAAAAGUCGUCUUUGCAUAAACACAAAUCGAAAGAAUUUUCCAGCAAAGCCAGAAAGAUAACUAUUGCAUAUUCACGAAAUUUAUCAUCUUGAGAGCAAUAGUCAUUGGAGAAAAAUCACAGGGCUUCAUUACAGAAACACAAGGACCAGGUUCAAGAGUUGUGUUCCACUCUGAACUAUUGAAUGUUGAAGUCUGUCAAUUAAAGUCAAGGGUUAUUAGUCUUUGUUGAUUUGUUCUAGGUUUAUUAUUGAGUUAUAAUAAUUCCUAGAUUUUGUAACAAGAAGUGAGUUUGACUUCUUGGGGGGUAGAGUCUUGAGAGAAUUGUAACAAGAAGUGAGUUUGACUUCUUGGGGGGUAGAGUCUUGAGAGAAUUGUAACAAAGAGAGAGUUUGUGAGAAUUGUAAACAAGAAGUGAGUUUGACUUCUUGGGUGGUUAGAGUUAAGAAGAGUUACCUGGUUCUUGAAUACUGGUAAGGCCGUUUCUUUAAUUGGUAUCAGAGCAGGUCUUUUUAUUAAAAGACUCAUAUCUUGAAAAGGAUCAAUGGAUGCACCACCUACACCACAAGAAUGAGCUUCUCAAACUCGACCACCACUUUACAAUGGAAAGUACUAUGGAUGGUGGAAGAACCGCAUGAUGGAUCACUUAAUAGGAGAAAAUCCAGACCUAUGGGGAGUCGUGUUGGAUGGUCCAACCAUACCAUGAAGAAUGAAACUGAUGGAACUACUCAAGUACCAAAGGACAAGAAAUAAUGGAAUGCUACAGAUAAACAUGCAAUUCAGAACAAUGCUAAGGCUAAAAAGAUCUUGAUAUGCGGAAUAGGUCCAGAUGAAUACAAUCGAAUCUCAUCAUGUCAAGAUGCAAAAGUAAUAUGAGAAACUUUGCAAACUGCGCAUGAAUGAACAACUCAGGUAAAGAAGUCUAAAAUUGAUAAUUUGAACAGACAAUACAAAUUGGUUCGAAUGGAAGAAGGUGAAACAAUUCAAGAUAUACAUACAAGGUUCACUGCAAUCAUUAAUUAAAUCUACUCACCAGGAGAAAUAAUUCUCAAUGGGAAGGCAGUCAGAAAACUUUUGAGUAUUCUUCCAGAGUCUUAGGAAAGCAAAGUAGAAGCCAUUACUGAAGCACGUGAUCUAGAUAAGUUAGCUAUAGAUGAACUCAUCGAAAAUCUCAUGACCUAUGAACUCAAGAAAAAUCAAGAAAAGAAAAUCGAUGGAAAAAAGAAGGAGAAGAACAUGGUUCUUGAAGCAAGAACACCAAAAGAUUUUAAGGACGAAAACAUCGCGUUUAUGACCAAAAAGUUCUCAAGAAUGUUAAAAAGCGUACAAGUAUUUCAAAGGAGGAACAGUUCGAAAAAAGCAAAAGAGAUCAAGAAUGAUAAGUACAUUCCUACAAAUAGACGAAUGACCAACCAAGAAGCAGAUCUCUCGAUGAGAAAGGCCUUUACCGCUAUGAGAGACUCAUCGGAAGGAGAGUCUAAGGAUGAAGGAUUCAAAAUCAGUCACUACUUGCAAUAGAGGAAACAUAUAAAUAUGACUUUCUUGCACUAGUUGCUGAAACAGAAUUAAAAGAUGAGAGAAACACCUGUCAAACACAAGAAAAAAUUCAGGCACUAAUGGUUGGAACAGGUUCUGAUGAAGAUGAAGAAGAGGAAAAACAACCAGAGGUAAGUUUCCUUGAAACUAAGUCUAAAAUAAAUAUGUAUUCCAAGAAACAAUUACAAUCCCUAUCUUCAGUUAUUAUUGAUGCAUACUAUCUAGUGAAUUUCGAAAAGAAUCAAUUAAUGGAUGAGUAUGCAUCCCUAAGACUUGACUGUAUGACAUUGGAAUAUCAAAUUGCUUCUUAUGAUAACACUAUCAAUGAUCUAAAAGAACAAGUUAAUACCAUAGAAUUAAGUCACAAGGGCAAAAACUCUGCUAGUGAACUUCAAUUAGCUUUGAAAGAAGAAAUAAAACGGUUAACCAUAAAUUGUCAGGCCUUGACCGAAAGAAAUAGGCUGCUACAAGAAAAUCUUGAUAAGACCAAACUUGAUCUGGAAUGAAAUCUUAGAUGGACCAGGUCUUUUGAAAUUUUGACGCAGAUUUAAGAAAGGCAGACCACCGGUCGAAGUAGGAUAGGUUUUAGAAAACAGAAAAAUCUUGUAGCACACACUAUUCAUAUGCCUAAAAAUUUAUGCACUCAUUGUGAAAAAUCAGGUCAUUUAAGGAAUCAAUGUAAAGCUCUAUUUGAGGCCUUUCAGAAAAAUGUUAAGUUCACCAAAAAAGAAAAGGCUGAAACGAUUAAGAACCUGAUUCCAAAUAAAAAUACUCCAGAUAAAAGGUCUUCUUAUUUGCCUUUCUGGGCUAGAAUAGAUCUUAUUCAUCCUUUUACUCACAAAAAGGAGCCCAAGCUAAUCUGGCUUCUCAAGGAUAAUUUUUGACUAGUGUUUCAAGUGAAGGUGAGAGGAAAAAAGGUCAACUUGGUACAUAGAUAGUGCAUGCUCCAAACAGGUGCUAGAAAUGGUAGAAAAUUUCCUCUCACUCUCUGAUUUUCAAGGCAACUGUGAAGUCCUUGAAAAUGAUGAGAAAGGUGAAAGAGUCAAGAUUGACAAAGUUGAAAAGUCACAACCACAGGCCAUAGAGAAUGCGUUUUAUGUUCAAGUAUUGAACCACAACACGUUGAGCAUCUCUGAAAUUUGUAAUAAAGAAAAUAAUGUAUUGUUCAGAUCAGCUGAGUAUCGUGUGCCAAAUUGUAACUCCAGGAACCUGGUUCUGAAAAGACGCUAAAGAAAGUGACCUGAUAUCAAACAUCUUUGAUGAUGCAAAUUUUGGGAACAUCAUCGAUGAACCUGGUUCACAUCUAACAAUCAUUGAUGCACCUGCAACAGAAGAUACUGGAUUAACCCAUGGUUUUAGAGAUAGGGGGAAUAACAGAGCAAUUAGGAUAGUUAGAGUCUGGUAGAUCUUUAGGGGGAAUUUCGAUGUGCGAACCUGGUCCUUGUUAUUCGUUGGAAGUUAUUGAAAAUUGAUAGGACCUGGUUCUCUCUUCUACUCAGCUUGAGAUUCCUUUGAUCUGGGAGAAUCUGAUGAUGCAGACAUACUCAUGAAGGCCUUGAAUAUGGAGAAUUUGAGAAAAUGAGCCAAAACUUGGUUUGUCGAAACAAGCUGAUGCAUUAUCAUGAUUUCCUUUAAUAAUUGGUUAGUAAACUAAUAAUCUUAUGCUUGAGUAAUUAUACAAUGAAUAUCUGCAAACUCAGUCUCGUACUAUAACAGGUACACACUACAAGCAUAUCUCAAACAAUGUUUAGAAGGUCUGCGAAUAUUAUCCCUACUCUUUUACUAACAACAUUAAGCAAAUCAUUGAGGAACACACAAAAGGGGAACCUGGUUUCUCUGUAAUACUCAGGUAUGUACCAUCCUUUUUCAAUGCAUGAAUUUUCUGAGUUUGUGUCAAACAUAAGCACUAGUGAACCUGGUCGAUCAUAAAUAAAUCAAUUCUUUUAAAAAUCACCAAGAACCAUUUCUUUGACAAUAAGCAUCAUUCAAUCUGAAACCACUCAAAUGAUGAAAACCUUAGUUUUGAAGCCACCAUUGCUUUAAUUUAAGGGGAACUUUGUUUUACCUCUCACAUAUGAACCAGGUUCACAAAUUCCAAAUUGAUAUUCCAUCCAUUCCAAGUGUAUAACCAGUUAUCUCUCAGGAGGAACAAUUCUCUUAAGAACAUACUAUUAUCGGUGCUUGCCUUCAUUAUUGAUAAAUUCAUCUCUAUUGUACUAAACUAUGAUGAAUGUCUUACUUAUAGUUGGUACUCCUUCGAAAUAUCAUCAAGAAAAGGGCUAUAAAAAAACCACGGAGGAGUGAAAAUGUUAUGGAAUAGAAUUAAAAAACAUGAAAUGAAAAGUUUUUUUAAAAAACAGCUUCAUAACUCAAUUGUUGCUCAUAAUGCAUGACAAUAAUACUCAUCUGGUCUUGUUAAACUGAUUAUGCUCAACUAAUGAUGGACCUCAUAUUGCUCUUGAUGUAAUUUCACAUUCUAAGAAAACUAAUCACAACUAGGGCUGGGAAUAAUAUGGUUAAAACCGAAUAAACAGAUCGAAUCGAUUUCUUUUACAUUUCGAUUUCAAUUUUUUUGGUUAUUUCGGUCGGUUUUGAUUUCGAUUUCGAUUUUCAAUAUUUCAUUUUUUCGGUUCGAUUUUCGGUUUUUAACUUAAAAAAUUUGGUUAACCAAAAAAACCAAAAUUAUUUGUAUAUAUUCUUUACCCCCCUUAAAUCUUAAUUAACUUUCAGCCUAUGCCCAGCUCAGCCGGCCCAAUCAUAUCUUAUAGCCCACAACCUUAACAUCAAAUUCCAAUAAAAAAUCAGCCCAUGCCCAACCCAAAUUCCAAUCAACAUUCAAAAAUUCCUAAACUGAUUUCUCUAACAUCAGUCAUCUCUCAUCUCUCAAAAUGCGUCGCAACUCUCAUUUCUCAUCUCUCAACUCUCGUCACUCGUAAGUCGUCUCUCAUCUCUCAACUUUCGUCUCUCAACAGUUAACUCUCAUCUCUCAACUCUCGUCUUAGUUACAACUUACAUCGCAUGCUCACAGCUUGUCUCUCAACUCUCAUCCCUCAUCUCUCAAUCUCAGCUCGUCGUUCGUUGCUCCUGGCUCAUCGCUAAGUGCUCGGCUGCUCGCAAGUCGCAUAGUUGCAUGUACAGUCCACUAUUGCUCAGUGCACUACUCGCGACUCGAAAAUCUAAAGUCAGUGCUCACUGGAUAUGUUUAUACAUCUCGUCUUAAGUCUUAACUUCAUCUAUAAAUCUUUAUAUAUGUUAUAUUCAAUUUCAAAUAUAAGAUGAGUUAGGACUGAUCAUGAAAGUAUUUUUUAUCCUCUACCAUGGAAGUUUUGCUUCUAUCUAUUCUGUUUAAGUGUCUGUUAGUUGGGGACUGAUCGAUGAGUCGGUUAGCAUAAUUAGUUAAAAUACACAUGACAUUUUUAGACAUAGGAAUUAGGAUGUAUUGGUACAUGUAUGAUUUGUGAAUUCUAUUGCUGUAAAUUGUGAAUCCUCUAUUGUUUUUUAAUCAUUGAAUGCAACUAUGCAGUAAUGCAACUAUGUGAUAAUUUGUGUGAUUUGUGAACUGUAAUGUACUGUGUGUCUGUCUUUCUGAAUUCUGAUUGUUGUUCUUCUUGUUUGUUUCACUUUUUUACAGAUGACACAAAUUGAAUGUAGGGUAAGUAAAAGUGGAGCUUCAAAUGAGAGCAUACCUAACACCUCAUCUCCCAAUAAGGUUGAAGUUGAUGUUGAUACUUCAAAGAAAAGAAAAGAAAAGUCAUGGAACCUAGAGCUACUUGUUGGAAGCAUUUUGACAAGUUCACUGAUGAAAGUGGAGCUAAGAAAGCCAAAUGCAAGUAUUGUGCGAAACAUUAUGCAACUUCUACAUCAAGUAAUGGCACGUCGUCAAUGAAUACUCAUAUGAGAAUAUGUCCUAAAUUUCCCCGUGACACCGUAGAUAAAGGUCAAAAUCUAAUUAAUUUUCUACCAUCCUCAAUGGGAGCAAAGGAAGGGGUGAUUAGCACUUGAAAAUUUGACCAAGCACAAAGUAGGAGAGCUUUAGCCAAAAUGAUAAUUGUUGAUGAGCUACCGUUUAGUUUUGUUGAGAAAGAGAGUUUUAAAACCUUCAUGAGAGUUACAGUGCCACAAUUUCAUAUUCCUUCUCAUAGAACCGUGACGAGAGAUUGUUAUGAACUAUACCUUGAAGAAAGACAACUUUUGAAGAAGGUUUUCAAAGAAGCACGUCCAAGAUUUUAUCUUACGACAGAUACUUGGACCUCUAUACAAAAAAUCAACUACAUGUGUCUGACAACCCACUUUAUAGAUAGAAAUUGGAAUUUGCAUAAAGAAUAAUAAAUUUUUUGUCCUAUUUCUAGUCAUAAGGGCGGGGAUAUGGUGGCUUGCAUUACUAAUUGUUUGCUUGAAUGGGGUUUGGAUAAUAUGUUUACUAUUACAGUUGAUAAUGCUAGUUCUAAUGAUGUUACUGUGAAAGAAAUGUCUAAACAAUUGAGUAAUUGGGGAACUAACAUUAUGGAUGGUGAUCAUCUUCAUGUGAGGUGUAUGGCACAUAUCCUUAAUCUUAUUAUGCACGAUGAGUUUAAGGAAAUUGGUAAGUCUGUCAAGCUAGUGAGACAAGCCGUGAAAUACAUUAAACAAUCUCCCGCAAGAAUUCGAAAGUUCAAAGAAUGUUGUGAAUCUCAAUUGAUAACUUGUAAGAAAUCAUUAUGUUUAGAUGUUCCUACUAGGUGGAACUCUAUAUAUUCGGUGCUUGAUAUAGCACAACAUUUUGACCUUGCAUUUGAAAGAUAUAGUUUUUAUGAUAUUGGAUACUUGAAUCAUCUUCGUACCUUUGGUUCUGAUUCUUCUGAAGGUGAAGAUGGAACUAGUGCAAAAGAUGAAAUUAGUGCAGAUAUUCUUACAAGUGCUGACUGGAAAAAUGUGAGGUCAAUGGUGAAAUUUCUUGAAACUUUUUAUAUACUUACUUUGAAGGUCUCUGAUUCUAAUUAUGUCACUAGCAAUACACACUUUGUUGAAAUUGCUGAACUUAAUCUUAUUUUGAAAGAGAUGAUGGAAAAUGAAGAUGGUAAUUUGAAAGAAAUGACAAAAAGUAUGAAGGAAAAGUUCAAAAAGUAUUUAGGUGAACCACAUAAAAUGAAAAAGAUGAUCUUUAUUUUAUCCGUGUUGGAUUCCCGUAACAAGCUUGAUUAUGCUCCAUUUGCAAUUGUGGAUAUGUUUGGAAAAGAAGUUGGGGACAAGCUAUGUUCAGAAGUGAAAAAAUACAUGAAAAAAUUAUUUGAUUAUUAUGUUGAGAAAUCCUCGAAAAGCUCUUUACAUGUACCAUCUUCACCCACUUCAUCUGACAACUCAUCAAGUAUAUCUAGUGUGAGUGGAUCUGGCAACUUUGUAAAUAGAGGAAGAAUGAGAACGAAACAACAAUUUGAGAAGCAUAAAGAAGUUAGUGGAAGUUCAGGUAGUAAAUCAGAAUUGGAAAGAUAUCUUGCUGAAGAUAUUGAGCCAGUUAGUGAUGACUUUAAUAUAUUAAUAUGGUGGAAAGUAAAUGAGCCGAGAUUUCCUAUUCUCACGAAGAUGGUUCGUGAUGUGUUAGCCAUUCCCAUUUCAAGUGUCGCAUCAAAAUGUGCAUUCAGCACAAGAGGUCGUGUUCUUAAUCCCUUUAGGAGUUCAUUAACUCCUAAACUUGUGCGAUCUAUUAUUUGUGGUCAAGAUUGGCUUAGAAAUGAGCCUUUUCCAACCAACAUUGAGGAAGAUUUAGAGUAUUUUGAGCAACUUGAACUUGGUAAGAAUUUGGUAUUUGUAUUAAUUAUAUUAAAAUAAUUUUCUUACUUUUGUUUCUUAAAAACUAACAAAUUCUUUCAUAUAUUUUUUUUAGAUUUUGCUUGUAAUGGGAUUGAAUCUAGUAUUAUUGAUAUAUAGUUGCAACUUGUAAGUUCAACUAUCAACUAAUGAUGCGUGGUAAUGGGUAAGUAAAGAACUUAUUUCCAUAACUUGCUUGAUAGUUUUAUAUAUUUUAUAUUGAAAUGUAGAUCAUUUGUCUGAAGAGUUCUAUUUUCUCGCAGGCACAUCAAUGUUUUGUUAUUUUCUUGAUUGCUAUCUGUUGGAACUUGGGAACUAUUGCAGUGGAGGUUGCAAGUUACAACAAUGUUUUGUUGGUUUUUUAAUGUUUUGGUUGCUGGCUUGCUGCAAAUUGUAAUGCUGCCUACUGGCAGCUAGACUUUUCACUUUAGUUUGUAACUAACUUUAUUUUAGGGCUGGGCACAAGUUUGUUGAAUUUUCUAGUGUUGUUGGCUUGACUCUUGCUAGUCUUUUUAUUCUUAUUCUCGACUAGUUUGUUAAUGUUGCUGCCUGCUGGACAAGAAUUAUCUAUUUUGUUUGGAUAUUUUAGUCAAUGAUAUGGUAAGUUUCAAGUAAAAGGCUUGUGAGUUGUGACGUGCUUAUAAAGAAGGGUGUCUACUGUCCUGCACUUGUUGAUUUAUGGGUCUUGACUCUUGAAUAUGGUAUCCUCUGGGAGCUCAUUGCAUUUGUUUACUGCUAAGAAACAACUUGAAUGGUUGAAAGUUGAGACUUGGUGAAACAAAUUAAGGCUAAGAAAGUCAAAUUUUGAUCAGUUUAUAAUCAAGUCAGCAGAAAAUUAUCCAGAUGCCACAGCCCACUGGCCGCGUUAAUUAAAUUUGGUUUAAUCGAAAUAAACCGAAUCGAAAUUGUAAUAAAUUUGGUUUGGUUUCAUAUUUUGCCAAACCGAAAACCGAAAAAACAUAACCGAACCGACCGAACACCCAGCCCUAAUCAUAACGAAGGAGCUGGUGCACAAUGGGCGUACUGAAAAAAUUAUUGAUGACAGUAAACAUUCUUUUUCUCCCCACUUUAGUAAUCUUUGUCCCAAUCCUUAUCCUCCAUUUUUCCAUACUCUUUGAUGUACUUAUGUCUGUCUCAUACUCAUGAUAUCAUAUGCUUUUGAAUUAGGGCUCUAAAGGCUUAAACUGGUACAUAUUUGUUUAUUUUGUUUCACAUUGAAGAUAUUAAUUGUGUGUGAGUUUAAGAUGACUAAUAUCCUCAGAUUAACUUACUGUAUUGUUAGCAGAAGUGCACUUGAAAGUGUUGCCCAAGUGGCCAUGAGUUAAAAUGAUAUUGCACUCAUUGAAUGUUAAUCGAGUUCUUUGGUUAUUGGUUUUCAAUGAUGCCAAAAGGGGGAAGUUAUAUGAUGUGGGUUAGGGACAUAUUAUGCAUAGUUUGUGUCAUCAUAAAAAAGGGGGAAAUUGCUGGGAAAUGAGAGAACAUGAAGUUUGUAGUUUUGAUGAUUGACAAAGAGUCUUGAUGGUUUGUAGUUCUUGAUGUGUGACAAAGCAUUGUUUAUCAUCAUCAAAAAGGGGGGAAAUAUUGGGAAGUAGGAGAACAUAUAAAGUAGUUUUGAUGAUUGAUAAAGUGAACAUGGUUCACUACUUGUUGUCUUAUAUGUACUAUAUCAGGUGAACCAAGUUCUCAGACGUGACUGUAGGCAAUUUGUACAAAUAUGAGAGAUUACGGCAAAGAAAAAAAAGUGUAGAAAUAAAUGAGUGGAAAAAGAAAUAAAGAAAGAAUUGAAACACAGGAGCAAAGAAGGAAAGAAGGAAAGAAACAAAUAAGGAAACAAAUAAAGAAGGAAAAGAAGGAAGUCAAAUAAGGAAAUAAAUAAAGAAGUAGCAAUUCAAGUCAAAUAAGGAAAGAAGUAAAUAUAGACAAACUCUAGAAGGAAAAAGAUUUGUUAUUCCUUUCCUUGUAGAAGUUGAUGAAGGCAAAUCAAACUCUAUAAAAGGUUCAAGCCAAAGAAGAAAAAAAUCUUCUUUGCAUAAACACAAAUCGAAAGAAUUUUCCAUAAAGCCAGAACGAUAACUAUUGCAUAUUCACGAAAUUUAUCAUCUUGAGAGAAAAAGUCAUUGGUAAAAAAUCGUUGGACUUCGUUACAGAAACACAAGGACCAAGUUCACGAGUUGUGUUCCACUCUGAACUAUUGAAUGUUGAAGUCUGAUCAAUUAAAGUCUAGGGUUAUUAAUCUUUGUUAAUUUGUUCUAGGUUUAUUAUUGAGUUGUAAUAAUUCCUAGAUUUUGUAACAAGAAGUGGGUUUGACUUCUUGGGGGAGGGGGGGUAGAGUCUUGAGAGAAUUGUAACAAGAAGUGGGUUUGACUUCUUGGGGGGUAGAGUUAAGAGAGAGUUUGUGAGAAUUGUAAACAAGAAGUGGGUUUGACUUCUUGGGUGGUUAGAGUAAAGAAGAGUUGAGAGUUUUUGUAAACAUGAAGCGAGUUUGACUUCUUGGUGAGUUGAGAGUUUUCAAUUAUAGUUAAUCGAAAAGAGUAGAAGUUUAGAGUUAGAUUCAUUGAUUAACUGAGUUGUAAAUCUUUAAUUAAUAUAAAACUUUGGUGUGGUUUUUCCCUUCCUUAAGUUAGGAAGGUUUCCACGAAAUAUUGGUGUUACUGUUUACUAACGUAAGUGUCUUGUGUGUUAUUCAAGAACCUAGUUCUUGAAUAUUGGGUAAGGUUUCUUCAAUACGAUAUAUUUAUAACAAUAGUAAAUAUGUUCCAAAUAAAAGUGAUAACAAAAAUAACCAUAUAAUAAAUAAUAAUAGCUAGAAUAGUGUAUCGAACAAAUUUCUCUUAUUAAUAAGCGAGUACAUUGACCUGCUUAGGGUCAACAUGCCUACUUCAGCUACUGGAAGCAAGCAACUCUUCAUUGACAUGCCUACUUUUAUCCGAGGGUGGUUGUAACACCUCGCAACUAGAAAGAAGUUUAAAAUCUGGAAAUAGUCAUUUUUGGAAAGUAUAAGGAAAUCUGGAAAAUUUUAAGCAAGUUAAAGUGAGUUUUUGGUCAACUUCAAACGACCAUAACUCCUAGAUCAGGAUGAUUUAGGUGUAGUUCCAGAUAUGGUUGGAAAUCUCUUAGAAUGAUGUUUCCAACGCCGCCAAGUUUGCAUGAUUCCGAGUUUGGAUGAGUGAGUUAUACCCUUUGGAAGUUGGGCUGUUGGAUUAAAGAAAUGUCCAAUCCGGAACUUUAAGGGGUAUUUUAGUCUUUUCAUUGCCAUAUUAUUUUAAUCCAUUUUUAGGAGUUUAAUAUGGCUCAAAUCAGAUUUUAGUCAGUUUUAGAAUUUGGGUUUUCACGUUAGGGCUAAGGAGAAAGGAAAAGAAGAAGCAAGAACGUUCAAGAUCGUCGAAGUUUGGCUUGUGGAAUUCAUCGGGGGUGAUCCCUACAAGGUAUGCAAGAUCACAUAGCGUCGGGUUAGUUCACCCACGCGCCAAGCAUAUUUAAUUCAGUGAUUUUCAUUUUAAAAGAGUUAGAAUUUGAUGUCUUGAGUUGUGUUCUUGAAUUGUUUUCAUUCUUGAACUUACAUGUGAUUGAUGGGUUUCUUGAGACGUUUUAGCAAUUGUUAAGAGGUGUUUCGAGUUAGAUUCUAGUGUACAUGUGUUGGGUAUCUGAAUCUAAGAAAGUAUUGAGAAAAGAAAUCGAUUUAAAAUGAUUUAGGAUCAGAAUACGAGUUGAAAAACUCGCCAGACGCACCUGGGAGGGCCAGGCGCGUCGCACCCCCAUAGCACCAGGAGGCUGGGGCGGCGCUCCUGUAGUGCGCCCAAAACAAGCCCCAGUAAGUUGGGGCUUGGCGCGGCGCGCCAGGGACGCGCCCGGAUCGAUGUUUUUCACCAAUUUUCGUCGUUUAGCCUAUUUAAGUUAUUCUAAAGUGUCCUAACAAUUUCCAUUGAUUCUAACUACUCUAAAUAAUUUCUAAACACCUAGAAAUCAUCCAGAAACAUGAGUCAUAACCUUGAAUCCAUAAAUUCAAAUUCAAGGAAAAUCAAGAGCCAAGUCUAGGAAGUUCUUCGAGUCUUUUCAAUAAAGUCUUUUGCAAAUGCUUUUUACUAUGUUUUAAAACUUAAGUUUCAAGUUAAGCAAAGAGUAAAGAGUUGAGUUCAUUUCUAACAAAGCUAUUAAGGGAACUAAGUAUUCCCAAAGAGUUUAUAAAUGUUUUCACAUUUGAGCAAGAAAAGGGAACAUCGAUUCCAAGAGAGCUUUUAAGCUAAGUUUUGAGUAAUUAUCUCAAACCAAAGAAAGAAUUUGGUUUAAAACAUAUGAGCUAAGUAUAUUUUUUGGAGUAGUAUUGAGCACCGAUAUGGGGAUGCGAGUUCAUAUUAACUCAAGUCUUCAUACACCAUGUAGCCAUCAUGGGUAUUAAUGGGUCAUACUUUUUAGAUGAUCACAUACGUUAAGCUAGUGGAUCCACUAAGUUAAGCAUUUUAUAUGACGGCAAAGUAUAUGAUAGUUCUGGCAGCGUGGGCAAGACGUUGUAUCACCACUUAGGCUCAUAGUAGUGGUUGUCGGUUAGAGAAUCUCCUACAAAAACUAUAUUAUUUUAGUAUAUGAGUAAAGUUGAGUUUGUUACUGCAUUUCCUUUAACGAACUAAGUUUCUGUUACUGUAUAUAAAGCUUUUCAUAUAUUGCAUGUGUCCAUUGCUUUAUUUUGAGUUAAGUUAUCCAGGAGUUGAGAAGAGCCAAGGUAAGUGUUUCUUUCAGAAUCUUUUCAAGCCUAUGUUUUUUAGCAUUCCAACUCGCAUACUCGUACAUUCAAUGUACUGAUACCAGUUGGCCUGCAUCUUAUUAUGAUGUAGACGCAGGUAACCAGGAUCAACAUCCAGCGCCUCGUUGAUCCAGCUUGAGCAUUCAAAGUCUGGUGGUGAGCCUCUUUGCAUACCGAAUGACUCUUUUAUUCGCUUUUUAGUUUAGUUCAUUAGGAUGUUGUGGGGAUUGUCCCAACAUCCAUCUCAGUUGUUUAGAGGCUUCAUAGACAGUUAGUAGUCAGAUGUCUUUACAUUAUCAUUUCAUAUGUUGAGACUUGAGUUGCCAUUUUGGCCAAAUUGAAUGUUGACUAUUCAACCUUCUGAGUUAUUUCACGAAAAUUAUUCGAGUAAGUUCACUUUGAUCAUAGUAAGCAUGUUUAGAGUCUUCCGCUGAGUCAGUAAGCCAGGCUAAGGGUUCGCUUGAGGCUAGCAAUAGUCUUCAAGUUACAGUCCCGCCCAGGGUGUAGGCUCGGGACGUGACAAACUUGGUAUCAGAGCCCAGAGUUCAAGAGUCCUAGGGAGUCUAUGAAGUCGUGUCUGUAGAGUCCUAGUUAUCGGUGUGAAGCGUGCCACAUCUAUAAUUAGGAGGCUGCAACAUUUAGGAAUUCUUUCACUUCUUUCAUACUUUUUUCAUGCGUUAGAGUUUGAUCUCUAAAAAGUUUCUUCUAAUUCGUGCUUGAGCGUGUUUUCAGAUAAUCAUGCCUCGACGAAGAGCUGUCAGAGGUCGUCCUGCGAGACGCAAUAUUGAGGAACAAGAGUUACCCAAUGCACCUGAAGUGCAACCUCAAGGAGAAGUCACCAAUGCUGAGUUCUGUAAGGCUAUCCGGAUGUUGAGCCAAGCUGUGACUAACCAGGUUGGGUAGCAAAGAGGGGCUCGAAAAGAAGAGGCUGACACUUCAAGGAUUCGUGAGUUCUUGAGGAUGAAUCCUCCAAGUUUCACUGGUUCAAGCACUACUGAGGAUCCAGAGAACUUCAUUGAGGAACUGAAAAAGGUAUUCGAUGUGAUGCAUGUUGCUGAUACUGGGAGAGUUGAACUAGCUGCAUAUUAACUGAAGAAUGUUGCUAGGACCUGGUUUGAUCAGUGGAAAGGGGGUAGAGCUAAUGAUGCACCACCUGCGAGUUGGGCCUGUUUUAAGGAAGCUUUCUUGGGGCGUUUCUUUCCCCGAGAACUGAAAGAGGCCAAGGUACGUGAGUUCCUCACACUUAAACAGGAUUCUCUGAGUGUUCAUAAAUAUGGGUUGAAGUUCACCCAACUAUCCCGUUAUGCUCUGGAGAUGGUUAAGGACAUGAGAAGUAGAAUGAGCUUGUUCGUUCCUGGGUUGGGCCUUCUAUCAAGCAAAGAGCGCCGGGCAGCAAUGCUUAUUAGGGAUAUGGACAUUUCGAGGUUGAUGGUUUAUGUGCAACAGGUUGAGGAAGAGAAGCUAAGGGACAGGGAAUAGUUCAGAAGUAAGAAAGAGAAGACAGGGAAUGAGUCUGGGCAGCAGAAAGGUAAUGUGAACCAUUCGUCCUUUUAGCAAAAGCAAAAGGGACCUGCUCCAUCAUCUGCUAGUGCACCUGCACCCCGAAACAAAUGUGAGUAUAAUGGCCACAACUCGCAGAACUUCAGAGCUAGAUCUGCACAGUCUCAAGGUAGUGUGGCGCAAGGAGGUAACUGGGCUCCUGCAUGUGCUAAGGGUGGUAGGAUCCACCCAGGUAAGUGUCGUGAUGGCCAGACAGGUUGUUUCAAGUGUGGGCAAGAGGGUUACUUCUUGAAAGAGUGCCCUAAGAACAGGCAAGGUAGUGGAAAUCAGGGCAAUAGGGCCCAAUCUUCAUUAGUUGCUCCACCAGACAGGGCUGCACCUAGAGGAGCUACUUCUGGCACUGGCGGAGGAGCAAACCGCCUCUAUGCAAUCACUAGUCGCUUAGAGCAAGAGAACUCUCCAGAUGUUGUCACUGGUAUGAUCAAAGUCUUUACUUUUGAUGUUUAUGCUUUGCUAGACCCAGGAGCAAGUUUAUCUUUUGUAACCCCUUAUGUUGCAAAUAAGUUUGAUGUUCUUCCUGAGAAACUUUGUGAACCCUUUUGUGUGUCUACACCUGUUGGGGAGUCUAUUCUAGCUGAGCGAGUUUAUCGUGAUUGUGUCAUUUCCAUUAAUCACAAAGACACCAUGGCUGAUUUAAUUGAAUUAGAAAUGGCAAAUUUUGAUGUCAUUCUAGGUAUGGACUGGCUUCAUGCCUAUUAUGCAUCAAUAGAUUAUAGGCUCGGGGAGUGACAACGGUUUUGAAAUUUCUAUAUUUUUUUAAUUUGUUAGAUAUUUAAAAAUUACGUAAGAAAAUUUUAAAUCAUAAUAAUUAGCAACUUAAAAUAUUUAAAAUUCAUGUAUUCUUUAGAAUCUAUUAUAUAUUUUUAAAAAUGAGUAAACUGUACUAUAAGUCACAAUAAUUAGCAACUUAAAAUUUUUAAAAACAUAUAAAAAAUUUAAAUGGUUCUCAAAAUUCUAUCAGUGUCAUUAGUUAAAAAUGUAUGUGCAUUGAGUUUUAUACCAAAGAAAAGAUUACUUGAUAUUGUAGCCAAAAAACAAAAAAAAUUAAACGAUUACUAAAGUUGUACAUUGAUCUCAAAUUCUGGGCGAAGUACAUCAGUACCUAUUUUUAAAGUCGUCAUUUAACUAAUAUUUGUUGUCUAUAUAUUUGUAUAUAGGUUUAUUUGUGUUUGAAAAUAAUUUAGGUAUACAUAAUCGAGGUUGAAAAUCCACAUCUGAAGUACGUGUAAAUAUUGCUCGAAAUUGGGGAGGGGGUGAGGUGGGGUGGGGGUGACAAUUGCCUUCUUUUCCUCUAAAUUAAGCUCAAACUUGAAACAUAAGUUUUAUGUACCAUAAAACACAAAACACAAACCUUAAUCAUCAAUUUCUCAAAAUUAUAAUAAAUCUAACAAAUUCAUUUAGUAUUUUUUUUUAAUGUAUGCCUAUCGUGUGCGCUCAAUCAUAAAUAUAUGUUAAAAAUAACAAAAAAAAUUUAGAUGUAUACGUCUGAAAUGUAAAAAUAAAAACAGAAAAAAUAAACUAGAAAUAACAUAUGUUUUGGUCUAGAAGUUAUCUAUUACUGAAUCACACCCACAUAGAAAAAAAAACACACACAAAAAAUUCAAUUUAAUAAAGCAGACAAAAUAGAAUAUCCAUGACUCUUGAUGUUCAACUAUUUUUUCCAAUGUACUGGGGAUAUCAUAAACAUAAAUAAGCUAAAAAGGAAACAUAAGAAAAUAGAGAAAUUAUUUUAGAUCUUUUGUUGGACUUUGCUACUUUCUGUCCUAUCUAUUUAGAUUUGGUCUUAUAAAUAUUAUUAUUAGUUUAUAUAUCCCUUAUAACAUAUUUGUGAGGUAUAAUAUAAUGUUUUUUUGUUAAAUAGAACACAUAACAUCAUUUUAGAAUAUUUUUUCUAGUUAAAUUGUCAGGCAAUACAAAGUCAUUUUCUCAUAAUGUCUUGACGUAGACUUUAAUUUUCCUUGUUAUACAUGCCAACAGGGCAAAGCUAGAAGUUCUGCCCUGGCAGCGUGAGGCAAAACGUUGUAUCAUCACAAUAGCUCUUAAGUGAUGAUUGUCGGUUAGAAAAACUCCCACAUAAAUAUUUUGUAUUAUUAUAUACACAGAGUUACUUGUAUUUUUACAUACAUCCAGAGUUUAUAUUGUAUAUUUGCAUACAUACAGGUUACUAUUGUAUUUCUAUAUACACAAAGUUGAUAUCCAUGUUUUAAAGCUUUCUUUAUAAUGCACUUAUUUAUACUGCUUUAUAUUGAAAUGAGUUCAGUUCAGUUCAGUUCAGUUGAGACCAGGUUUGUUCUUUUAGUUCCUUUCAAGCUUAUGUCUUGUUUUAGUAUUCCCCUUGCAUGCUCAUACAUUCAAUGUACUGAUGCCAAUUGGCCUGCAUCUUUUUAUGAUGCAGAUACAGGUAACCAGGGUCGGCAUCCAGCGCUUCGUUGAUCCCGUUGAGCAUUCAGAGUCUUGUGGUGAGCCUCCUUGCUUUCCGGAGAAUCCCUAUUUACAUUGCUUUAGUAAUUUUCAGUUGCUAGGAUGAUCGGGGGUCUUGUCCCGACAUCCCUCUUAGUUUUAGAGGCUUUAUAGACAGUCGGUUAGUUCAUUUGUCUUUACCUUGUUAUUUGCUUAUGUUUUGAGACUUGAAUUGCCAUUUUGGCUAGUUGAAUGUUUCUUUAAAGACAUUCUAAGUUUAUUUCAUGAGUUCAUUUUUUGAGACUAUUUUCUUGUUAUUUAAGUCUUCCGCUGAGUAGUAAGUCAUGCCAAAGAUUCGCUUGGGGCCAACAAUGGUUCUCGAGUGCCAGUCCCGCCUAGGAUGUAGGCUCGAGGCGUGACAAUUUCACUCGUAAAAUCACUGAAUAAUUUGUAAUUUGAAUUGAUUAAGAAGUCUAACCGUAUUCUCUUAUUAUAUAAGAGGGAGUUUGCACAAAGCCAGCUCCUCCCCGUCUGCAUGCCUGCUUGGCAUAGGGGUAGUUUUGGUAUUUUAUAAUUAUUUUUCUACUAAUUUAUUGUACUUUGUGCUAUUGAGCAUGUACUUUUUCCAAAUAAGACAAAACAGCCAACUACUAUUUUGUUCCCUAUACACUUUAUCUUGAGAGUAUGGGACCUACUUCGUUAAAUUUUAAAGAGGCAGCUGGCAUGCAAACCGGAAGAUCUGAAGUAAUUUAUAUUUAUAUUAGCACUAACGAAUUAUUAUAUGCAAAAAUCUUAAUAAUAGGAUAAAUUUUAUCCACAGUAAUAAAAUAAAAUUAAAAAAGCCCCCAAAAGUGAGAAAAAAUCAGUUUAUCACGAAAAUUUCCACAGUGUUAUUGGAAGCUUAAUAAAGAAAUAUUCUUCAAAAGUAUUUAUUAUAAAAACAAUAAAUGAAAUGUAAAAGACUAGCAUAAUGAAAUAUUUUAAAGUGCAACCAAUACUUAAAUUAUUCUAUUUUUAAAGAAUGAGUAAUAUAUGAUAUACUUAAAUAAUAUUUAAAAUUAGACAAAUAAAUUAAAAUAAAGAAAAUAUUUUUAUACUCAUAAAAUUUUAAAAACUUAAAUUAAAAUGCAUUUUUUAUUAAUGCCUCAAAAUAACUAAGUUCAUACUUAAGGGACAACUUGGUUAAAAGACAAACUAUAAAUAGAAAUUCUAAUUUAAAAAUUAGUGUUGCUAAUUAGUAAUGCAACAAUACAAAAAAAAUCACAUAACUUACAUAAUUUAUGAGAAAAAUAACCAAAUGUUAUAUGAAUUAACAAUGAUUUUCAUAUAUGUUGAUUAAGUUUUAAGUGAAGAAAAUAAUAUAUAUAGAUGAUUUACUACUAUCACAAAUAUUUAUAAUUUAUUUUAAAUAAAAAAAUUAAAAUUAUUUAAUCAAAAUUACUUUAGAAUUACAAAAAGUUAAUAAUAUUUAUCAAAUAUUCAUUUUACAGUAGUAUGAACGUUUACUGCCCUAUAAAUACAUAAAACUUAUUCAAAGUUGAUCAAUAUUGUAGGUUAAAAAUUAAUUUAUGAAUAAACAUUGACUGCACGGGCUCUUCGUCACUAGUGUAUAACAAAAAAAAAAGUUUCUACCAAAAAGAAAAAUAUAACAAAAAAGUUGUAUUCAACCACCUUUGAUAAUAGUGUAAAUGAAGAGUUGCACACAUAAGGUGGGGGGACCUUGAGGGGAUUUUAAUUUCAAGAAAAAGAAGGCAAUUGAUACCACCAUAACUUACAACCACCCCGACUGCAAAUGCAACACCUGGAUAAUAUACAAUUAAAUUUCGUUAAUUAUAAUGAUGACAUUUGUCUGAAUAUUUUGUGGCUGUUAUAAUAAUAGAUUAUUAUAUAUUUAUACUAAUAUUUGAUGUUUAGAUAUCAUUUAGAUAUUAUACGUGAGAAUAAAUGACAUGUGUAAUUUUUCAUGGUAAAAUUAUGACAAUAUAUAAUGAGCACCAUUUAAAUAUAAUUUUCUUUAGAUAUUCGUAUUUAAAAUUUACUAUAUAUGUGUGUGACAUUAAUGAUGAUCACCAUAGAUAUUUUAGUAUUUUAUUUUUAUAUAUAAUAUAUUUCUUACAAAAUAUUUAAAUAUGACGGUAUAAAAGAGUAAUUUUAUAAAGAGUGUACUUAUACUAUAAUGAAAGUCACUCUUGUUAUAAGUAUAAUGAAGUUGUAGAGAAGUAAAAUAUAACACGAAAAAUCGAUUCUAAAGAAAAUCAUACCGUUAUAAUAAAAUAUUGUUAUAACAAAUGAUCAUUAUAAUUAACGAGGUUUGACUGUAUAUCCUCGAAAUUUCAUUUUAAUUUAUUUCAUCCGAAAUUAAGUUUUUUUUUCUUUUCAAUACAUCUUCGGAGGUACAUAAGGGCCUUUGGGUCUAUAUGUUUGUUAAAAAGAAGAUAUCAGAACUACUUAAAAAAGGAAAAGAGGAAAUAAAAACAUUCCAAAAUUAUCUAUAUAGCAAUAAUGAUUUUCUGAUGUUCUUGAAUUCCUCAAGGUAUGUAUUUACAUCGAGAGGUUUAUGAAUAAGAGAGUUGAGACCAUGCUUCAAUUAUAUAUAUGGUCCCCAUAAAGGAAGAAAAUUCAUUCAAUUUUAUUUUAUAUCACAUUAAAACCAUAUUUGAUUUUUUGGUUAAUAUGGGAGUGCAUCCAUACUUUCUGUUUUUCAAUGUUUUGGAUUGUUAUAAAAAAAAUUAAAACAAGAACGGGGCAGAGCCAGGUAGUAUCGAGGGGUUCAUUCGAACUCCUUUUGACAAAAAAAUACAUUAUAUAUAUAUAUAUAUAUAUAUAUAUAUGUUGAACCUCAUUUAGCUUCUUCGUGUGUUUUCUUCUCAUACUUUGAUCCCCUUAGUGAAAAUCCUGAUCCGCCACGGAAUAAGAGGAAAGUUGAAGAGUAGAGCAUCUAACCUUGAAUUUGAUAACUAUAUAUUCCCAAUUCCUUCUGGCUAAAGUCGAAUAUCUUUUAGAAAAAUGGUGCUACUACUUCACCAAAUCUAUUUAGAGCAAAACGUUUCUUAUUUAUGGAGUUACUAAAUUCAGUAAGAUUUUGGUUACGUACUCAUAUUAGUAUGAAUUAUGAAGUAAUUAAUCAAAACUUGUUAAAUCAUAUUCAGUACUGCUUUUAAAUAAUAUAUUGAUACACCAUACUGAAGAAAAACCAAUUUUCUUUUAUUGUAUUUACUUUCAUGGUCAAAACUCAAAAGGUUCAUAAAAUAUGUACAUAUAGUUCAUGACCAUUGUAAUAUUAAUUUCUUUGUGAACUUCAAAUGAAAUAAUACAAGGAUUAACAAGAGAAUAACAAUAGAAAACAAAUUUCAAUUACAACCCUUCAACAUAAAUAUAUUUCUAAAUGGUCAAUGUUUGGCCUACAAAAAUACAAGAUUUUAGGCCAUGCAUGCUAUAUAAUCUUUAGUAUCUAAGCAUUGACUAAAACUAAAUCUAUAGAAAAAUGAGCCAUAAAUUAACGUAGUUGUUAUCUUAAUAAGAUCACAAAAAAAUCCAAUAUGCACUAACCUCUCACUGUAUACGAGAUUCAAGAAGAACAAGAUCAAUACAUAACGUACAUUUUCAUAAUUUGAUCGAAUUUGUGACUUCCUGAUCAUACUGCAACUCUUAUGAUUACGCUAACGCUCGUUUUCGAUCUUUACACGAUAGCAGUACCAAAUUGACUAAUAAAAAAUAGAUCUAGUAGUUGGAAGAUUAAUGAUCACACACAAGGAAGUUAGGACACGAAAAAGAAAAACCUACAGCUAAUAGAGCGUUGCUUCAUUUAAUCCUCUCAUCUGCCCUCCAUUCAUUACACUUUCCCUCUUUUACUCUUUAAAUUUCCAUUUUCUUCUCUUAGCUCUAUUCAUCCUUCCCUUCACUUGUAAUAUUUUUCACUCAAAAAUGCCUGAAGUUGUCCCAAAUUUCUCUAAUUCAGUAAAGUUGAAAUAUGUUAAACUUGGUUAUCAAUAUCUUGUUAAUCAUAUUUUAACAUUUUUGCUUGUGCCUAUUAUAAUUGGUGUUACUAUAGAGGUAUUAAGAAUUGGCCCUCAAGAGUUGCUAAACAUAUGGAAUUCACUACACUUUGAUGUUCUACAAAUGUUGUGCUCUUCUUUUCUCAUCAUCUCUAUAGCCACUGUUUACUUCAUGUCGAAACCACGAUCAACUUACCUAGUAGAUUAUUCAUGUUAUAAGCCUCCGGUUGUUUGUCGUGUACCAUUUUCAACUUUCAUGGAGCAUUCCAGGCUUAUUUUGAAGGAUAAUCCCAAGAGUGUGGAGUUCCAAAUGCGCAUUCUUGAAAGGUAUGGUUACAUGAUUAAUUUGUACUAUUCAGGGGUCGUUUGGUAUGGGGAUGAGAUAAGCAAGUGUAUUCAAUGUGCGUCAAGCACAUCUAUGAUUUUGAAGUAAUAACUAGUAAAGGAGUUGGUAGACACCUUCUAUAAUAUGGGAUAGUAAUCACACCUUUUUAGUACAAAUGUUACGAUAAAAUAAUCCUGAGAUUUGUUAGUACGAUCAAAUCAAACAUGGUAUAAAGUUUUUCUUGAAUUUUGUUCCAGAAUUAUUAUCCUUAUCCCACGUACCAAACGAUCCCUAGUUUUUACAUUAUCUGAAAUAUUAUAUCUUUGCAUAUUAUAGUAUUUUCAAGAUUUCAAUUAUUCCAACAUUUUAAAGUGAUUUACCUCUAAAUAUCAUUUGAAUGGCUCGAUGGAUAAAGCAUUUACAUAAACACUUUAUAAAGUGAGAUUAUCCCACAUUUCAAGAAAAACACGAGUUUGAAAGCUUUUGUAUGUUAAAAGGUUUUAUUUAAAACUAGAAUUUCGAUAUAAAUGUAAAUUUAAGUUUUGAAUUUAAAGGAACAUGUUUGUUUAUGAAAUAAGAUGUAUUUUGAUCGAGCUAUCCUAUUGAGAAGGGGUUCAAUUGAAUUCCUUCCGUUCAAAAUUAUGUUGCAUAAAUAUGGUAAAAUUAAUUUUUUGUGUGUUUAGACAAGUGAAAAUGUGCAUAUUUUAAAUCUCCUUUCUAAAAUUUCUAGCUCCGACAGCUCUACAACCAUGCCUUCUUUGGGAAACGACUAGAGAUAUUUUGCAUUAUCCAAUUGUUUUGUUGUACACCGUUUGAGCUCCUAGCUCCGCCUCUGCCUCAAGUAUCUCUUCAAGAAAACUUGUUAUGGCGAGUCAUUCUUACUUUAUGUUGUGCUAUAUUAUUUCUCACAGGUCGGGGCUCGGAGAAGAAACUUGCUUGCCUCGUCCCAUCCAUUACAUCCCUCCAACGCCAACUAUGGAAGCUGCGAGAGGUGAAGCAGAGGAAGUCAUAUUCACAACAAUUGAUGACUUAAUGAACAAAACAGGGCUCAAACCAAAAGACAUUGACAUUCUCAUUGUCAAUUGCAGCUUGUUUUCUCCAACUCCGUCUUUGUCAGCUAUGGUAGUCAACAAAUACAAAUUAAGAAGCAACAUAAAAAGUUACAAUCUCUCUGGUAUGGGAUGCAGUGCUGGUUUAAUCUCGAUUGAUUUAGCUCGAGACCUUCUUCAAGUUCAUCCGAAUUCAUAUGCUUUAGUUAUUAGCACUGAGAUAAUAACUCCCAAUUAUUACAAAGGUUCGGAAAGAGCAAUGCUCCUCCCGAAUUGUUUGUUCCGAAUGGGAGGUGCAGCCAUACUGUUAUCCAACAAAAGACGCGAUAGAUACAGAGCCAAGUACAGAUUAAUGCACGUGGUCCGCACCCAUAAGGGUGCAGACGACAAAGCAUUUAAAUGUGUAUUUGAACAAGAAGAUCCACAAGGGAAAGUUGGUGUUAAUCUUUCAAAAGACCUUAUGGUUAUAGCAGGGGAAGCUUUAAAAUCGAACAUUACUACGAUUGGUCCUCUUGUUCUUCCUGCCUCAGAGCAACUACUCUUUCAACUAACACUUAUUGGACGGAAGAUUUUUAAUCCGAAAUGGAAGCCUUAUAUCCCGGAUUUCAAACAAGCGUUUGAACAUUUCUGUAUCCACGCGGGUGGUAGAGCUGUUAUCGAUGAGCUUCAGAAGAAUUUACAAUUGUCUGGUGAACAUGUAGAGGCAUCAAGAAUGACACUACAUAGAUUUGGUAACACAUCUUCAUCAUCAUUGUGGUAUGAGAUGAGUUAUAUUGAGGCAAAAGGAAGGAUGAAGAGAGGUGAUAGAGUAUGGCAAAUAGCAUUUGGGAGUGGAUUUAAGUGUAAUAGUGCAGUUUGGAAGUGUAACAGGACAAUCAAGACACCAACUGAUGGACCAUGGCAACAUUGUAUUGACAAGUAUCCAGUUCAUAUUCCAGACAUUGUUAAGCUGUAAAAUAUAUUACUCUCUCUCUCUUUCUUUAUUUACACGCCCUUUAAAGAAACAUUAAUUAGGAGGAGUUGUGUGUGUCAUAAUUGAAAACUUCCACAACAUUUACUAUGAAAGGAUAAAUUAGGAAUACAUAAUUUCUUUGUUUUGAACUUCUAUACCAAAUAUUUUUAACAAGGAUGACAAUUGACAAGGAGAGAGUAUGAGGUUGUUGCUCAAUAUUAGUAUUAGCAUUGGUCUCUCUCAUUUGGUUGAGAACAAGUUAUUCUGAAAUUAAUUAUUUGGGAUUAAUUAUCUCAGAAUUGUUAGUUCAUCCUUAACGUGGAAUAAAAAUAACAUUACAAUUUCGAAAUAAGUUAUUUUCCCAUUUUAUCCCAACCAAAAAUAAAAUAAACUUGACUUAUAAUUAAUCUAGAAAUUAGUUGUCAAAACUACGGGUUCAUUGAAUUCCUUACACUAAGGCUAUAUUCGCCACAUAUAUAAUAGUGAUCUCUUGAUUACUUCUUUAAGUGUCGAGAACACUUAGAAAAAAAUUAAGCGUAACAAAUAAUUGAUUACUUCUUUAAAUGUCGAUAGUACUUAGAGAAAAAAUCAGCGUAACAAACGAAGGAAUGUGAAGAUAAAGUUAUAAAAACGUACACAAGAUUAAUAAUUGCCUUGAUUUGAACCAGUGCUAUAAAUUAAAGUAAAAGAUAUUUAUGUCAUUUUUUUUCUUUUUUAGGUGUUCUAUAUUGAUAUUUAUUGAUCCAAUUAAUUUAUAGGUGGUUCACGUUAGAGGGCAAAUUGUAAACUUUUAGCUGCAAACACAUGUUUCAUUUGGUGAGCAAGGACCACUAGUUCAACUCAAUUAAUUAUUGCUACUACUAAUUAACCAAGUAGCCAUAUGGAGUAUAUUGUAGUACUGCUUGGAGACAUUUAUUAAUGAAGCUAGAGUCUUGAAAGUUCACAAUCUCUAAUUUUUAGUCCAUGUGUCCUAUUUUGCUUGCUUUGUUUACUUAAUAUCUUAUUGAUAUAUAUAUAUAUAUAUAUUAGAAAAAGAAGAGCUGUUUUCGACAAAUGAUAUCGAGCUAAUAAAAAUAUGUAUAAACAAUAUAUCAAUUCUAUGGAAAAUGAAUCAUGCAUAAAUAAUAAGAGGUGUCGUGGGGAUAUGAUUGGUUGAUGACAUAAUAUUGAUUGAUGAGACACAUAAUAAAAUUAAUAAUAGGCUGAAAGUUUGGACACAGGCCCUAGAUUAAUGUAAAGGUUUUUGCUUUAGUUGAAGUAAGAUAUAAUACUCCAACUUAUUAUUAAGAACUAAUUGUUUUUAAUUCAUUUUUCAAUAUUUAAAUGACUUAUAAUAAUUAAUGAUAUUAUAAGAAAAUUAUUAUUAUUAUUAUUACUAUUUUGGCAAGGGAUAUGUCAUGGUUGUACCGAUUUCAUAUCUCAAUUCUCAAGUAAACUUAAUUGAACACAUGGAAAAAAGUUCAACUUACCAUUAUUGGAUGUUUAAGCUCAAUUUGUCUAUUUUACUAAGAAAAAGAAUUUAUAGUUUUAUACCUAUGUAUCUUUUUUGUUUAUUUUGGAAUUGGUUAGAUGGAUUGCUGGACUGGGUAUUGGACAUCACAUCUGUCUGCUUUGGGCUUAACAUUGAAGAGAAUAUCUACUAAGAUGAGUGGACACAAAACUAGCAAAUCGAUUGGGACACAAUCUCUAUAUAUAUUAGGUACAUGGUUUCUUCAAAUCACAUAUUACUAUAAUAGCUGUUGAAGUCUUAACUAGAAUGUUAAAUAGUCUAUAUGAAAAUCCUAGGUUCAUUAGCUUUCACAUGCAACCAAAUGGACCUAGGAUUAAUCAUAUGUCUUAUGCUGAUGACAUCAUUAUUUUAUGUGCAGGUAAAUUAUAUAUUCUACAUUUAGUGAUGAAUGUUCUCAAUAGAUAUGAACAAAGGUACAUAUAGAGUUGUUAAAACGGAUCAACCCAACCUUAUCCAGCCUAAGUUUUGCGGGCCAAGAAAUUUGAUGGCACAGGUGGAUUGGCCCUUCAUUUGAAAGGGAUUGGAAACAGUUGAUCCUAGAAGGGUCGCGGGCUGGAACGGGCUAGCCCUUCUUUCUUUUCUUCUUCUUUUCAAACUUAAAAUUCUAUCAAUAUACUGUAUUUGUAACAUAUCUAACAAAAUGAUGUGAAGGUACAUAAUAAUUACAAUUAUAACAUACAUUUUAUACGUGCUUUCAAUUACAAUCUCAUAUCUUAAAUAUAUAUAAUAUCAAGAAAAUGAGAAGAUUUUCAAAUCAAAUGUAACAAAUAAUGAUGUUGUUACAAUAAUUCUAGCAACAAAUGUUAAAGAAAAAAAAUAUUUUCUGACAUAAAUAAGUAAAGAAAAUUUUAAAAAACAAACUUAUAAAUUAAAGAACAAUUACAUUGUAUAACUUUAUUUAUUUUAAUUCAAAUUUGGACCGUAGUUAUAAGCCCUAGUUUUAAGUGAAUUUGAAAUUUUAAUCCCAAUUUUAUCUCACUAACGAAUUGAAUUAGGUUAACUCCAUAAACUAAGCUCAUUUUGACGGCUCUAGAGAUAUAGCAAUCUAGUAGACUUUAGUAACAAAAGCUAUAUUCUUUCAUGAUCAUUAACAUCCCAUAUGACUCCCCAAAACAAGACGCGACAAUUUCUCCUUCAAUUAUUUUUUAUAUCGUUAGAUUGCCUUUUUUGAUUUGAGGGUCCAUCGAAAAAAAUUCUACAUUUGAAAGAUGAGAGUUCAAAUAGUGUUGUAUUGUUACGGUGAAAUUCCUGAUUGGUAUGGUGAACUUGUGGUGGUGUAACCGAGGAGGGUGAAAAAGAGAGAAUUUGUUUUUGAGGUGUGUAUACCUGUGUAUAUUAUUUGUAUAUCUAUGUAUAUAUUUCAUGUGUAUACAAGUAUUCCCUUGUAUAUUUGUGUAUUUCAAUUAAAAAAAAUAUUGACUAUUUCCGAAUGACGUUUUUCUGGUUGAUUUCAAUUCUGAAUUUUUUUCAAAGCAUUCCAAAUCACUACCAAUCUUUUUAGAUUUUGUAUACAACGUCGUUCAGUUUUUUCAACAAAUUUCAGCCACAUUCACUUAAAAAGUAAUUAAAAAGUGAGAUAAUAUCAUAAAAGUUAUAUGUUAUUAAAUAUUUUUGAGUUAUCGAUGCCAAUACAAAUUGUUAAUUAAGCGGCUCUAGGUGGAGUUUUAGGCAAAAAUCAUCCCUCAAGUAUAACCUAAACUUAGAGUACAUCCUUAUGAUAUAAUUGUGAACAAAAAACAUCCUUAACAUCCUUUCUGUUAACUACUGUUAAAAAACUAAUAGAAACAAAUACAUGUGCUAGGCACAUGACUUCCUCUAAAUCUCCAUAUACUGUAGAUUGAUUUCUUCAUCUUCAUGAACAAUAACACACAAGAAGUUGGAACUCUUCUUUCAUGCUUUUGUGUAGAAAAAUGAUCUGCUCCAAUUGUCCCACUUUCAGUCUAACCUUCAGCAAAGCUUUGCUAACCGAGGGUUGUAAUUGAAUGCUCAUAUAACUGAUCAUUGCACUCAAAUUUUUGAAAGAAACUAAUAGCACUCGAUAAUUUAGAAGAUGCACAGUCGUUCGCAAUUCAGGAGAGCUCUUGAGACACAAUUUGGAGAGAAAAUUAUUAAUGAUGAUGCAGUUAUAUGAGACAAUAAGACUAAUGUUAAUAAGAAGUACACCAAGCAUGUUGGCCUAAAGAGAGAUUUUUUCUUGGUUGUGCGAGGUGCCGCUAGAAAUUCGAUAAGGUGCUUAUUAUUAAAAGUGUCACCUAUAGAAACUUCAAUGCAAUGAUAAAGAAAAUUCGGAAUCUCUAUUCCUACGUGUUGUUUCUUGUUUUUCAACCUACAAAAUCUGAUGAUUUUGAAUGUGAAAAAGAUAUUUAGUUUGAGAAAUAACAAAAAUAGUACAAUAUUGGUAAAAUAUAUCAAAUCUUUUUCAAUGGCUAUUUCUUUUGCCCCAACUUCAAUUCUUAUGUUGAAAAAGAACUUGUAUGGUUGCUUUUAAGUUUAGAAGAACAAGAAGUUUUGUUUCUAGAAGACACAAGCCCUGUUGAAUAUAUAAAACGAUCAGAAUUCGGGAGGAAAUCAGUAGGAUAGUAUAUGGGAUUUGGGGAAGUCAUGUGCUUGGCACAUGUAAUUGUUUCUGUUAGUUUUUUAACAGUAGUUAACAGAAAGGAUGUUUAUGCAUGUUUUGAGAUAGUUAAAUGAUGUUUUUAUUCAUAAUUAUUUGUUCCCUUAGUUUGGGUUAUACUUGAGGGAUGAAUUUAGCCUAAAACUCGCUCUAGGUGUGUUGCAUCCUAUUCUGAAUCAGUCGAAAUAAUCGACAAAUUAAUGGCUCUUCUAUUUUAAGAAUUUAUUAGAAAACUUAUGCGUCUUGCAACUGCUUUAACUCUAUUAGUCAAGCAUCGAUAAUCUUUAAAAUUAAUCUAAGUGCACUUGAGGGAUUAUUACUUCGUUUUUACCUAUUUUAAAUGGAAGGCAAGAAAAAGAAUCAUAUAUAUAUAUAUACUAGUUAUUAGGUUCCCGCGCCAGCGCGGGCCCAAUGUAUAUUACUUCUUCCGUCUCAUUUUAUGUGAGGUAGUUUGAUUCGCCACGGAGUUUAAAAAAGAAAUGAAGACUUUUAAAAUUUGUGGUCCAAAAUGAAUGAUAUAAAUUUGUAUGACUGUAAAUUAUUUCAUUAAGGGUAAAAUAAAUAUUUUAUAAUCAAAUUGUUACUUAAUAUAGAAAUGUGACAUUCUUUUGGGACUGACUAAAAAGGAAAGUAAAUAACAUAAAUUGGGAGUAGUUCUUUGUUUCAAUUUAUGUGACACCGAUGAAAUUUGGAGAGUUAUAUAAUUUUUUGUAUGUGAUUUUGUUAAAUAUAUUUUGAAGUUGUUAAUUUAUUGUGAUUUAUAGCACUUCUUAUAUCAUUUUCAAAUAAUAUAUAUUACUCUUUCUGUUCCAUUUUAUGUGACGUAGGUACUUUUACGAAACUCAACUAAAUUUCUUAUAUGAUUCUUAAAUAUUUGUAGUUGUUAUUUUACUUUAAUUUACGUUACUUUUUAUGUUAUUUUCAAACAAACUUCUUAUGUUUCAAUAUGGAAUUAAAGAGUCAAUAAAAUUUCUUUUAUGAUUUUUAAUUAUGUUUUUUUAAUAUCUUAUAUUAUUACAUUGUGAUUUUAAGUACUUUUUAUGUAAUUUUUAAAUCUAGAACAAAUUAAAAGAAAAACAAGGAAAAAUUUAAAUGAAGAAAGUACUAAAAUUUUCAAAUAAUCAUAUUUCUAUAUUAAAAUGUUAAAAACUUUAAAACUCCACAUAUAUGCAGAAAAUCAUAUACGGAAGACAAAAUAAUUUUUAAAAUAUAUAUUAAAGCUCUUUCUAAUAAUAUCACAUAUUUAUUCUAUUUUUCAAAUAAUAUAUAUUUCUCACUCAAUCUCAAUUACGCAGUACAUAUGAAAUUUCGAGAGUUAAUCAAAUUCUUAGUACUAUUUUAAACUAUAUUUUAGUACUAUUUAUAUAAUUUUCAAAUAAUAUAUGUUACUACUCUAUUAUAUUAUGCAAUACAUGUGAAAUUUCAAGAAUUAACCAAAAUUUUAAUAUUUUAAAUUGAUUUUUAGUACUAUUUUUGUAGUAAAUAGAGGAAGUUGAAGAAGAAGGGCAAAUCGGUCAAUUGACUGACUAACCCUAAGCUCCUAAACAUUCUCACUUCUAAAUGGAAGCACGGGCACAAUAUCCGUUAAAUUGUUAAUUAUUAUGAUUUAUAAUAUUUUUUACAUUAUUUUCAAAUAAUAUAUGUUAUGUAUUUUUAAAUACUUUAAGUUGUGAUUAAUAAUAUUCUUAACGUAAUUUCAAAUAAUAUAUGUUACUCCAUUUGUCCCAAUUUAUGUGACACAUGUGAAAUUUUGAGAGUUAAUAUGUUUUUCAAAUAUUGUAAGUUGUUAACUAUUGUGGUUUAUGGUAUUCUUAAUGUAAUUUUUCAAAUAAUAUAUGUUAUUCCCUUCGUCUUAAUUAUACAAUUCGCGUAAAAUUUUGAGAGUUAAUCGAAUUUGUAAUAUUUUAAAUUUAUUUUUUAGUACUAUUUAAAAAGGAAAAAAUUAAAAUAUUACUAUAUAAGAAGAGUAGUAAUUAUAUAGUAAUUUUUCAAAUAAUAUAUGUUAUUCCCUUCGUCUUAAUUAUAGAAUUCGCGUAAAAUUUUGAGAGUUAAUCGAAUUUGUAAUAUUUUAAAUUUAUUUUUUAGUACUAUUUAAAAAGGAAAAAAUUAAAAUAUUACUAUAUAAGAAGAGUAGUAAUUAUAUAGUAAUUUUUCAAAUAAUAUAUGUUAUUCCCUUCGUCUUAAUUAUAGAAUUCGCGUAAAAUUUUGAGAGUUAAUCGAAUUUGUAAUAUUUUAAAUUUAUUUUUUAGUACUAUUUAAAAAGGAAAAAAUUAAAAUAUUACUAUAUAAGAAGAGUAGUAAUUAUAUAGUAAUUUUUCAAAUAAUAUAUGUUAUUCCCUUCGUCUUAAUUAUAGAAUUCGCGUAAAAUUUUGAGAGUUAAUCGAAUUUGUAAUAUUUUAAAUUUAUUUUUUAGUACUAUUUAAAAAGGAAAAAAUUAAAAUAUUACUAUAUAAGAAGAGUAGUAAUUAUAUAGUAAUUUUUCAAAUAAUAUAUGUUAUUCCCUUCGUCUUAAUUAUAGAAUUCGCGUAAAAUUUUGAGAGUUAAUCGAAUUUGUAAUAUUUUAAAUUUAUUUUUUAGUACUAUUUAAAAAGGAAAAAAUUAAAAUAUUACUAUAUAAGAAGAGUAGUAAUUAUAUAGUAAUUUUUCAAAUAAUAUAUGUUAUUCCCUUCGUCUUAAUUAUACAAUUCGCGUAAAAUUUUGAGAGUUAAUCGAAUUUGUAAUAUUUUAAAUUUAUUUUUUAGUACUAUUUAAAAAGGAAAAAAUUAAAAUAUUACUAUAUAAGAAGAGUAGUAAUUAUAUAGUAAUUUUUCAAAUAAUAUAUGUUAUUCCCUUCGUCUUAAUUAUACAAUUCGCGUAAAAUUUUGAGAGUUAAUCGAAUUUGUAAUAUUUUAAAUUUAUUUUUUAGUACUAUUUAAAAAGGAAAAAAUUAAAAUAUUACUAUAUAAGAAGAGUAGUAAUUAUAUAGUAAUUUUUCAAAUAAUAUAUGUUAUUCCCUUCGUCUUAAUUAUACAAUUCGCGUAAAAUUUUGAGAGUUAAUCGAAUUUGUAAUAUUUUAAAUUUAUUUUUUAGUACUAUUUAAAAAGGAAAAAAUUAAAAUAUUACUAUAUAAGAAGAGUAGUAAUUAUAUAGUAAUUUUUCAAAUAAUAUAUGUUAUUCCCUUCGUCUUAAUUAUACAAUUCGCGUAAAAUUUUGAGAGUUAAUCGAAUUUNNNNNNNNNNNNNNNNNNNNNNNNNNNNNNNNNNNNNNNNNNNNNNNNNNNNNNNNNNNNNNNNNNNNNNNNNNNNNNNNNNNNNNNNNNNNNNNNNNNNNNNNNNNNNNNNNNNNNNNNNNNNNNNNNNNNNNNNNNNNNNNNNNNNNNNNNNNNNNNNNNNNNNNNNNNNNNNNNNNNNNNNNNNNNNNNNNNNNNNNNNNNNNNNNNNNNNNNNNNNNNNNNNNNNNNNNNNNNNNNNNNNNNNNNNNNNNNNNNNNNNNNNNNNNNNNNNNNNNNNNNNNNNNNNNNNNNNNNNNNNNNNNNNNNNNNNNNNNNNNNNNNNNNNNNNNNNNNNNNNNNNNNNNNNNNNNNNNNNNNNNNNNNNNNNNNNNNNNNNNNNNNNNNNNNNNNNNNNNNNNNNNNNNNNNNNNNNNNNNNNNNNNNNNNNNNNNNNNNNNGAAAGUGAAAAAAAAAAUGUGUCAACUGGCUACAACAACUAUUCAAAGUAUAAAGGAGAUAUUAAAUCAAAGGUCAUCACUACAUGAAUGAGUUCUGACUACAUUUUUCUUUUCCUCAUUUUUUUUUUGCCAUUCUCCUAAUUUUUUAAAUCUGUUUUAAUUAUUAAAACAUAAAAAAAAUAAUCAAAAGUCAAUACUUAAAAUAUUUCUCUUCAAUAUACGUACGUUACUUAUUUUUUUUCAAUUAAUCAUUGUUAACUAUCACUUAUUGUAUUAAAGUCUCUUUAAUUUGUUAGUACUUAUCAUUUUAAUUUAAAAGUCUAAAUUUAACUAAAUAAUUUGUCAAUUAUUUAGGGAAAGACAAUUACUAUAGAAGACAAGGAAAGAUGAAAGAGUUUAGAUUUCAAAUAGGUGAUGAAUUUUUUUUUACAAAUUUUCUUUUUGAUUAUUUAAAAAUAGAGUGCAAUCUUUGACUAGCAACAAGAACUAGGGAACAAGAAAAUAAUAAAAUAAAAUAAAUAAAUAUAGGAAGGAUUGAAGGAACUAAUGGUCCGGAAAAACAAAAAAAUGAAGUAGGAUAAGAGGGUAAGAAAACGAGAUAAGAAGAAAAUGAUAAAAAAAAAUCGAGAGAAUAACUUUUUUUCCAAACUAGAGCUUAUUAUAAUUAAGGUAUGAACAAUUGAAGGGAUAUUAGAUACUGGGAAUAGGAAAAAAUGAAAAACAAAAAAAUUAAGAAACUAUAUUAAAUAUACAUUUCAUUUCUACUUAUUUCUACCUUUACUUUUCAUUUCAUGCUUACUUUAUUUUAUUAGAAAGAAAAAAAUUAAUAUAUAUUAUUGAUUUUGUAAGGAUAUGCAUGAAAAAAAAAUGUUAUUACCUCGAUUAUAUUUAAAUGAAUUUAUUUUUAAAUUUUUAAAUAAUUUUAUGACCGCGCGAAGUGCGGAAAUGUUGACUAGUAAUUUAAUAAAGUAAAUGAAAGAGGUGACAAAGUAUUUAAUCUAUAAAAUAUUAUUGGGUCUUGCUUUUGAAAACAAAUGAACUUGAGUCAAUACAUACACUUUAGAGAAAAAAUCUUUUUUGUAAAAUUAAUUUAAACUUUGUUUAUACUCUAAACAAUCUGCAUUUUGAAGUUCAAAAAACAUAGAGGUUGCAUUCUUGCCCAAAAAAUAUGCAUUUUUACACUACAAAUCUGCACCUUUUAAACUUUUUAAAGCAAUACUUUUACACUCAAAAAACUAAUCUGCACUUCUGAAGUAGUUAUAGCUGAAAGCAAUACGGUUUCGAAGCUGACAUUUUUUGGGCAUAACAUAUCAAAAGGGACCUUCCCCAAAAAUACAGAUCAAAAUGUACGCUUCGUCCAAAAAUUGGUGGACUCUCUUCCCACCGUUAACGUCCGUUUCUUCGAAUGUAAAAUUAAUAUAUAUAUAUAUAUUCAUAUAUUCAAUGAUUUCGCCCAAAGAUGGGGAACUACAUUUUUUUUUAUUAACUUUUUAUAUAAUUUCACGUGAAUAGAAUCUUCAUUUGCUGAUUAUUAUUUUUUUCAGAUCCUUAGCUUGAACGUAAGUUUUGUCAUGUCUAGUUUGAUACAAGGAAUCCUGAGUUUCUUAAAGAUUAAUAAUACAAAAAGAUAACUAUUGGGUACUUUUUUCAUGAAAAUGUAUUUACUAGUAUUUAUUUACUUACGAUCAAUAGUAAAAAACUUAUUGAGGCCGACAAGGACAAUGAUUUCUGUUAUGAUCGAAUUUUCCUAAACAAACUAUAUCUUUGUGUCAUGCAGCCUGAAGCACUGCCCAUUUUCAUUUUUGUGAUACCUAGUACCGUUAACUCCAAAAAUUCUUAGAUAUUGAGUAUUUAUAAUUAAAUUGAAUGGAGAAGAUAUAUAGACCAAUUAUAUGAGUCGUCGUCCAGUGAAAAAAGUGCUACAUCUUUAUAAAUUUGCUUGUAAUCCUUUGAACUGUAAUACUUGCUGAUAAGGUAGGUCUUUAGCUCAAUAAACACAUAUCACAAAAUUUUAUGGCACGCGGACAUAUAAAUAGAGAUGACAAGAUCGUUGAAUUUUUUAGAAGUCAUGUAUGAAAACAUAUUGAAAUUGUAAUUGAACAGAGGAAAAAUUGAGAAGAAGAUGGAAAAGUAUAUUUACAAUGUCUAUCAAUUACAGUAUUUAUAGACUCCUGUAAUCAUCUAGGAGUCUCUAGAAACCUCUAACCGACUCAGCUCUAUCACGUUUAACUAAGUAACAAACUACAACUAACACAAUGAAAUGGUAACAAACUAACUAACUCAAUGUAAAAGUGAAACAGUAAAAACAGAAUUGUGCACUGAUGUUGCAUUGCAGUCACUAACUAACUUAUGCAACUAUAUAUUAUUUCAACACUCCCCCUCAAGCUGUGGAGCGAGAACAUUAAGAACACCAAGCUUGCUUAACAGAUGCAAGUGUUGGUCUUGACCCAAGCCCUUAGUCAAUAUAUCUGCCACCUGAUGUUGAGUAGGCACAUACAUAGGUUUCACUGUCCCAGCUUUCACUUUGUCUCUUAUAAAAUGACAAUCGAUCUCUAUGUGCUUAGUACGCUCAUGAAAUAUGGGAUUGACUGCUAGUUGAAUAGCAGACUUGCUAUCACUCAAAACUGUGAUUGGCUUAUGAAUGGGAGCAUUUAGCUUUGCAAACAACCCUUCCAGCCAAGUAAUUUCUGCUACAGCUGAUGCCAUACUCCUAUAUUCUGCCUCAGCCGAACUCCUAGAUACAGUAUGUUGUUUUUUUUAUUUCCAGGAAACCAGUGAUUCUCCAAACUUCACUACAUACCCUGUGACAGACCUUCUUGUGUUGGGGCAUGCAGCCCAAUCAGAAUCACACCAACAUAUUAACUCUGCAGCUGUUUGAGCUUUCAACCAAAUACCUUGCCCUACAGUACCCUUUAAGUAUCUGAUCACUCUGUUUGCAGCUUCCAGGUGAGAUUUCUUGGGUUGUUGCAUGAAUUGGCUCAAUGUAUGUACAACAUAACUAAUGUCAGGUCUAGUUAUGGUUGCAUAUAGCAAUUUCCCAACCAACCUCUGAUAGCCAGUAAUGUCCCUUAACAUAGCAUCUCCAAUGACUCCAUUAGCAUUGUCAUAUUCCACUGAGGUCAGCUUAGAAUUAGAUUCCAAGGGUGUACAUGAUGGCCUUGCUCCUGCAAGACCUGUUUCAGAAAUAAGCUCAAGAAUAUACUUUUUCUGAUUCAAUAUAACUCCUUGUGUUGAUCUUAGUACUUCAAUCCCUAAAAAAUAUUUAAGUUCUCCAAAAUCCUUGAGUUUAAAUUGCUGAUGCAACACAUCAUUUGCUUCUUUGAUCAUAGACUCAUUAUCUCCAGUAAUAAGGAGGUCAUCAACAUAUACCAAGACUAUAACCAUCCCUUCAUUCUUUUUCCAAGUGAAUAAAAAAUAGUCAUGAUUACUCUGAAUGAACCCUGCCUUUAAUAAUGUUGUGGUAAGUUUGAUAUUCCAUUGUCUUGAGGCUUGUUUAAGUCCAUACAAUGACUUAAGUAAUCUACAAACUUUGUGUUGUUCAUUCUGCUUGAAACCCUGUGGCAUCUCCAUAUACACUUCUUCAUCUAAAUCCCCUUGCAAAAAUGCAUUGUAUACAUCCAUCUGAUACAAAUACCAACCUUUAGAAACAGCCAAGGCAAUGACACACCUAACAGUCACCAUUUUUGCAACAGGUGAAAAAGUGUCAUGAUAGUCCAACCCUUCUUGUUGACUAUAUCCUUUUGUCACUAAUCUAGCUUUGAAUCUCUCUAAAUCUCCAUUUGUUUUAUACUUAAUCUUAUAUACCCAUUUUGAACCAAUUACAUUCUUCCCAGGAGGCAAAUCAACUAUCUCCCAAGUGUGAUUGUCUUCAAGAGCUUGUACCUCUAACUUCAUAGCCUGAAUCCAUCUUUCAUCUUUAAUAGCCUGACCAAAGUUUUGUGGUUCAACUAAUGUGGAGAACUUACUCAAAUAACAUUGAUAGUUAGGAGUUGCAUUAUCAUAGGAGAGGUAACUAGCCAGUGGAUAUCUUGUGCCCUUUCCUGUUUUAGGUCCUGCAUAAUCUCUCAUCCACACAGGCUGUUGAGAAACUCUAGAUGUUCUUCUUAGUGGAGCAAUACCAGUUGAAGAAGGUGCUUCAAUGAUUUCCCCAGCUGGUGAUGCAUUCUGUGAUGUAGGAACUGAGUUGGUAUGAGUAGAUACUUCAGGAGUUAACAAGGGGUCAGAACCAAGGUCUGCAUUAAUGUCCAACACUGUGUCUGAAGUUGAAUCAACAUUCUCUACUUCUACUUCAGGAGAUUGGCUCAUUUCAUCAUCUAAUUCUUCAUAAGGAACUAAGAAGUCUGUGGAACAAUUAUCUGAGACUUUAUCCUUGGCAAAUGGAAAGAUGUGUUCCUGAAAAAUGACAUCUCUAUUGACAAAGAACUUGUUAGUGUUGUAAUCCAACAAUAAGUAUCCCUUCUGUGUAGCAGAAUAUCCCAUCAUGAUAGCAGGUCUAGCUCUCUCUGAGAACUUAUCUCCCUUUGGAAGUACUGAGGCAUAACACAAACAACCAACCACUCUAAGAUGGGACAAACAAGGACAUCUAGAAAAUAGCAGCUCAAAUGGACUUUUACCCUUUAUAGCUGAUGAUGGUAACCUAUUCAAUAAGUAUACUGCAGCAGUAACACUCGGUCCCCAGAAUUUGAUUGGCAUAUGAGAUUGGAAUCUGAUGGCCCUAGCUAUAUUCAAUAUAUGUCUGUGCUUCCUUUCUACCACGCCAUUUUGUUGUGGUGUGUAUGGAUAACUACUUUGAUGCACUAUUCCUAAAUAUUGAAACAAUUCUCUGCAUUGGGAAUUAAAAAAUUUUGUGCCAUUGUCUGACCUUAUGACCUUUACAGACACACCAAACUGAGUUUUGAUCAGUAAGAAGAAAUUUUUGAGUGCCACAAUAGUUUCAGACUUUAAUUGCAACAAAUGAACCCAAGUGUACCUACUACAAUCAUCCACAACUGUCAAGAAGUAAUGUUUCUGAUCAAAAGUUGGAAUCCUAUAUGGUCCCCAUAGAUCUACAUGUAUAACAUCAAAACACAUAGUUGAUCUGUUCUCACUAAUUGGAAAUGGUAAUCUAGCUUGUUUAGCUAAAGGACAUACAUGACAAGUAUUCAAGGAAUCUAUGUCUUUAUUAUGCUGUAAAAGAGAUAAUGACUUCAGAACUUGAGCUAAGGGAUACCCAAGUCUCUUAUGCCAUAGUUUGCUAUCUUGCACUACUACUCCUGCAAUCUAGACUUUGUAUGUGUUUGUAGCCUUAGAUGUUUCUUCAUUCCAUGUGCACCUUUGAAAAUGUAUAAUCCCCCUUUCUCCUUACCAAUCCCCUUCACCUUGCCACUGUGAAGGUCCUGAAACACACACAAAUUAGGAUAAAAGGAGACAAAACAGGACAGUUGUUUAGUGGCCUUGGACACUUAUAACAGAUUAUACUUGAAAUCAGGAGCAAGUAAUACAUCUUGUACAACUGCAUCUUCAAAAACAAAGGCCUCUCCUAUGUGUGAUAUAUCUGCCUUAGCACCAGUGGGAAGAUGGACCUUAUCUCUUACUGCACGACUCUUUGAAAACACACUUUCGUUUGCUGUCACAUGGUGUGUAGCACCAGAAUCUACUAUCCAUUCUUGUGAUUCUACGUGAGACAAUAAGCAAGUAGACAUACCUGACAUAUUGACUUGUUUCAUCUCAUGUGGAUCUUUGUUCAAAAGCUCCAUGAUCUGUUUGUAUUCUCCAUCUGUAAAUGCUUGAGCCUUGGAUAAAACAACAUUAUUAACCUCCUUGUUCCCUUCCUGAUAAGUUUGCGAUGCAUUCUGACUGACAUCUCCACUUGAACUAUUUCCAAUAAAGUUAGUUCUGACUUGACUUCCAUACUGAGGCCCAUUGUUGUAUCCUCCAGACUGAGAACCUGCUCCUCUUGAAUUUCCAUUAUUGUAGUUCCCUUUCCUUCUUUGCUUCCAAUCUGUAGGAUAACCUAUCAGUUUAUAACAAUUCUCACUAGUGUGUCCAGUGAAAUGGCAAUAGUCACACUUCUUUCCUUUGUAGUUCUGAUUUCCAUAGCUGAUUUCUGCAUUUCUAUUCACCUGCAUUGCAAUUGGAUUAACCUUUUCACCCACACCAGUCAUACAGGCCAAAUGUUGGAUCUCAUCUUCUACUAUCAUUGCAUAUGCCUAAUUUAUAGUAGGUGUAACUCCUUUCAAUAGGAUUUGUCUUCUAGCUUGAUCAUAUGAAUCAUUCAAGCCACUCAAAAACUGAAUUAGUCUAAGCUCGUAUAGGUGAUCUGUAUAGUCCUUCGACUUUGGGCAGAUACAAGUUGGAGCUGGUACCACAGCAUCAUAUUCACUCCAUAGAUUCUUCAGCUUAGUAAAAUAAUUCGACACUGAAUCAGUUCCUUGUAUGAGUGAAUUGAUUUCUCUAUGUAGCUGAUAAAGUCUCAUGCGAUUCACCUUAUCAAAUCUCUCCUUCAGGUCCUUCCAUACGUCAUAUGCACUUGUUGCAUAUACAAUUCCACUCAACAAUUCCUCAUUAACAGAGCUCAUCAGCCAUGACAAGACAAUUGCAUUACAAGUUUCCCAUUGCUCAUGCAAUUCAUCCCUGGUGAAAUUCAUCCCUGUACAAUUCUCUACUACAGGCUCUAGUCACAAAUCCAAAUUUCCUUUUCCCUAACAACGCGAUUCUCAUUGAUCGACUCCAAACUCCAUAGUUUUCUGAUCCAAUUAGCUUGACAGGAAUCAAUGCAGCACCAGAUGCAUCAUUUUGAAAGACAUAUUACAAAACAUUACUUUUAAGUUUUUACAAAAUAUUAAAGCAUAAUAUUGAAUUCUCUCCUUAUUUAAGAAAAAACAUAAGUAUGUAUUAAUGUCGCACGAAAAUUUCUGCUAGAAAAAUUUAUCUCUUCGGGUUCCCCAUAAUCAACAUUUAUUAUAUUUAUUAAUGUUAUUAGUCCCUCCGUUUCACAAAGAAUGACCUCAUUUCCUUUUUAGUCAGUUUCAAAAAAAUGACCUCUUUCCUUUUUUGGUAACAUUUUACUUUUUGCUUUCCACGUGGCAUGUUUAAGACCACAAGAUUAAGGGCAAUUUUGUACAUUUGACAUAACUUUAAUUUAGGACCACAAGAUUCAAAAGUCUUCUUUAAUUUCUUAAACUUCGUGCCAAGUCAAACCAAACCAAUCUUUUUGAAACGGAGGGAGUAGUAUUCAUUAGUUUUGCACGUAUUUUUUUUCUCCAGAAAAUUCAUUUCAAUAAUCCCCUUUCCUUCCCAAUAAUUAAUAGUAAUUAUUAAUAGGUUUUAAAUGUUGCACCUCUUCAAAUUCUAGCACUCAAUAAAAUGAUAGAAGUUUAGAAACAAAGCUCCAUCAACUUCUCCACUAUGCUAGGUGAAAAACUCAUAAUGCUACAUUUCGUCAGGUAAUAUAAAUUACUAUUAUUUUUAUUGGAUGAAUAAUAGAUAAUUGUAUUGACAAAUUCUUUUAUGUGAAUCAAAGUAAUGUGAUUUACUUAUUCGUGGUUAUAGUAAAAAAUAAAUCACACUAUCAGAAAAGUGUGAAUUACAUGUGAAUUUUCCUGGAGAUUAGUAUGAAAAUCUGUAGGAAACUUAUUUUCCUGCAAAUUUUCAUACUAAUUCCCAGGAAAAUCCUCAUGUAAUUCGCACUUUUCUUGUAGUACCAGUGAAGUGCCAUGAAAACUUGACAAGACAAUUACUUUAAAGUAAGUUUCUCCUUAGUUCAUACUAUAUUUGUAUAUUAUAUCAUUUUCUUAUAAUAACUAUAUAUCUUUUUUUUAAUUUGCUUAGUAUCAUUUUUGUUGUACACGAGUUUGUUUCAUUAAUUGUAGAAAGUGAAAAAAAAAAUGUGUCAACUGGCUACAACAACUAUUCAAAGUAUAAAGGAGAUAUUAAAUCAAAGGUCAUCACUACAUGAAUUAGUUCUGACUACAUUUUUCUUUUCCUCAUUUUUUUUUUGCCAUUCUCCUAAUUUUUUAAAUCUGUUUGAGUUCUGACUACAUUUUUCUUUUCCUCAUUUUUUUUUGCCAUUCUCCUAAUUUUUUAAAUCUGUUUUAAUUAUUAAAACAUAAAAAAAAUAAUCAAAAGUCAAUACUUAAAAUAUUUCUCUUCAAUAUACGUACGUUACUUAUUUUUUUUCAAUUAAUCAUUGUUAACUAUCACUUAUUGUAUUAAAGUCUCUUUAAUUUGUUAGUACUUAUCAUUUUAAUUUAAAAGUCUAAAUUUAACUAAAUAAUUUGUCAAUUAUUUAGGGAAAGACAAUUACUAUAGAAGACAAGGAAAGAUGAAAGAGUUUAGAUUUCAAAUAGGUGAUGAAUUUUUUUUUACAAAUUUUCUUUUUGAUUAUUUAAAAAUAGAGUGCAAUCUUUGACUAGCAACAAGAACUAGGGAACAAGAAAAUAAUAAAAUAAAAUAAAUAAAAAUAGGAAGGAUUGAAGGAACUAAUGAUCCGGAAAAACAAAAAAAUGAAGUAGGAUAAGAGGGUAAGAAAACGAGAUAAGAAGAAAAUGAUAAAAAAAAAUCGAGAGAAUAACUUUUUUUCCAAACUAGAGCUUAUUAUAAUUAAGGUAUGAACAAUUGAAGGGAUAUUAGAUACUGGGAAUAGGAAAAAAUGAAAAACAAAAAAAUUAAGAAACUAUAUUAAAUAUACAUUUCAUUUCUACUUAUUUCUACCUUUACUUUUCAUUUCAUGCUUACUUUAUUUUAUUAGAAAGAAAAAAAUUAAUAUAUAUUAUUGAUUUUGUAAGGAUAUGCAUGAAAAAAAAUGUUAUUACCUCGAUUAUAUUUAAAUGAAUUUAUUUUUAAAUUUUUAAAUAAUUUUAUGACCGCGCGAAGUGCGGAAAUGUUGACUAGUAAUUUAAUAAAGUAAAUGAAAGAGGUGACAAAGUAUUUAAUCUAUAAAAUAUUAUUGGGUCUUGCUUUUGAAAACAAAUGAACUUGAGUCAAUACAUACACUUUAGAGAAAAAAUCUUUUUUGUAAAAUUAAUUUAAACUUUGUUUAUACUCUAAACAAUCUGCAUUUUGAAGUUCAAAAAACAUAGAGGUUGCAUUCUUGCCCAAAAAAUAUGCAUUUUUACACUACAAAUCUGCACCUUUUAAACUUUUUAAAGCAAUACUUUUACACUCAAAAAACUAAUCUGCACUUCUGAAGUAGUUAUAGCUGAAAGCAAUACGGUUUCGAAGCUGACAUUUUUUGGGCAUAACAUAUCAAAAGGGACCUUCCCCAAAAAUACAGAUCAAAAUGUACGCUUCGUCCAAAAAUUGGUGGACUCUCUUCCCACCGUUAACGUCCGUUUCUUCGAAUGUAAAAUUAAUAUAUAUAUAUAUAUUCAUAUAUUCAAUGAUUUCGCCCAAAGAUGGGGAACUACAUUUUUUUUAUUAACUUUUUAUAUAAUUUCACGUGAAUAGAAUCUUCAUUUGCUGAUUAUUAUUUUUUCAGAUCCUUAGCUUGAACGUAAGUUUUGUCAUGUCUAGUUUGAUACAAGGAAUCCUGAGUUUCUUAAAGAUUAAUAGUACAAAAAGAUAACUAUUGGGUACUUUUUUCAUGAAAAUGUAUUUAUUUACUUACGAUCAAUAGUAAAAAAACUAUUGAGGCCGACAAGGACAAUGAUUUCUUUUAUGAUCGAAUUUUCCUAAACAAACUAUAUCUUUGUGUCAUGCAGCCUGGAGCACUGCUUAUUUUCAUUUUUGUGAUACCUAGUACCGUUAACUCCAAAAAUUCUUAGAUAUUGAGUAUUUGUAAUUAAAUUGAAUGGAGAAGGUAUAUAGACCAAUUAUAUGUCAUCGCCCAGUGAAAAAAGUGCUAUAUCUUUAUAAAUUUGCUUGUAAUCCUUUGAACUAUAAUACUUGCUGAUAACGUAGGUCUUUAGCUCAAUAAACACAUAUCACAAAAUUUUAUGGCACGUGGACAUAUAAAUAGAGAUGACAAGAUCGUUGAAUUUUUUAGAAGUCAUGUCAUCUUUUGUCUAAUAUCAUAAGGUUUAAAGACGAUCCGUUAUUGUCUAUGGGUAUAAUUGGAGAACAUUUAAGAACAGCUUCAACUGCAUUUUGACAAACCUCCCACAUAUUGGAUUAACACAAGCCUCGUAGAGCAAUGACCUAAAUAUUCCUGCAACCAUAACAUUGCAAAGAACAAAAUCAGUAAACACAUUUAAGGAGUCGUUUGGUGUGAGCUAGGUAGUAUAAAAAUCUCAGUAAUAAAAUGGAUCCUGCAUUUAGUUGGAGAUAUUAGGCAAUCCUGAGAUUAUUUAUCCCACUACUUGUAUCUUAGUGACGGAAUAAGUUAUCACUCAUACAUGGUGAAAUAAUUUAUUACAGAAUAACUUAUCACGAGAUAAUUAAUCCCAAAAUAAUUUAGCAUGUUGUAUGCAUGAAAAGACUUGAAUACAAAAUUGGGUUGGAGAUUUUUACUUCCAUUAAAACUUUUACUCAGUCGUGUUAUACUUACUCAAAACUUUUAGUAAAAUUAAAAAAAUUAUUUUUUUUAUAAAUAAAAAAUAUAGCUAAUAGCAAGUCACCAACUUUUAAUUCUUUAAAUCAUCCCAUUCAUAUAGCUUCUUUUUAUUUCUAGAUUUUUAGUAGAAUAUUUAAAUCAUCAUAUUAAUAUUAUCUAUGAGUUAUAUUGACUAUUUUUUUUAAUAUUUAAUUAAUUAAAAACACAAACUUUAACUAAAAUGGGGAGUAAAUUAAUUAUUUAUGGUUAUUACGUGAAACUAGCUUUAGUACUUUACUAGAGGCGCAGUGGUUUUUGUCUAAAUUAGAAUGCAGCAGUAUGUUUCCAUCUGGUUUUCCAUAUUCCUGGAAUAGGGGACCUGUACCCACCAUCAAGUCCGGAUUUUUCCAUGUAAAAUUAAGGGUAUGCAUCGGGUGUAUAUAAUAGCAAAUUAUUAAUUCAAAUUAAAUGCUAUAAAUAGAUUUUGAUUUAAUUGUAUCCUAUAGCAAACUAUUGCUAUUUUCGCCACUCUCCCUGGUGGAAUCUCGCUCGCCACUCUCGUUUGGUGGCAGUUUCGCUCGCCUCUCUCGCUUUUAUACACAAACACAAAUGUAUAAAAUGUGUUUGUGUUUGUAUAAAGCGAGAUGACAUUAUAUAUAUACAUAUUUUUUCGUUCCCCUUUCUCCCCUCUCCCAGAUCUCGCUCGCCACCCUCGCCUCUCUCACUUAUACAAACAGAAACGAAAUGUAUAAAUUGCGAUUCUGUUUGUAUAAAGCGGGAGAAAAUUGUAUAUACACAUGCAAAUACGUAUAUCUUCAUCCUAUACACUUAGAAUUAUACAAUACAAAUAUUUUCAUACCCAGUUUUCUUUUGCCUUUCUCUCUUUCUCGUUUUAUACAUACACAGAUUAUACAAUUGAUCUUUUGUUAUACAACUGCUUUCUUUUUGUAUAUGUAUAGCGAAUUAUACAACUGUCUUCUUUGUAUAUGUAUAGUGAAUUAUACAACUGUUUUUUGUAUAUGUAUAGCGAAUUAUACAUAUAUAUGUUUGCUAUGGAGCUCAAUUAUGCAAACUUUGCUAUAGCAUACAAAUAUGAAUUUUGCGUUUGCUAUAUGUGAAAGUUGCUCUUAUUUUUAUUAGUUCGAUUUAUUAAUUAACUUUUAAUUAUGCUAAAUCAAUAAUUAAAUUAAUAGGAUAUCUCUUAUUGAUUUUCGAUUUAUUAGUUAUGGAUGCUUAAUGAUUUGAUUUCUAAUUUAACCAAUAAAAAAAGAUACUCAUAAAAUAAAUAUAUAAAUUCUCUAAUAAUUUAAUAUGACAUGACAAUAUAAUAUAACUUUACGCAAUACUUAUAAAAUAGAGUUGUGGCUGUCAAUGCUAACAUAAACAUGAUUCUAAUGAAGUCCAACCCUUAAAAGUAGCAUAUAGGGGAGGAAUAUGAAAAGCAAAUAGUAUACAAGUGAAGUAUCAGAGAGAGGUAGAAUCACCACAUAUCAUGGAGGAGGUAGGCCCCAAAAGUUUGAGAUGGCUCCUGGUUUUCGGGAACAAAACUGGUUUGUUUUCACGACUGUGGGCGGGCUCAAUCUGUGGAUUACUGGCGUCGUUACUCACUCCCAUAAGCUAGGAGUAAUUCUUACGAGUCAUUUGGUAGAGUGUAUUAGUAAAAAUAAUGUAUGCAUUAAUUUUGUAUAUUAGUAGUUCCUUGUUUGGUCCUCCAUGUUGAGUUAAUUCUACUGUUGAGUUAAUUAUUCUAACUUUAUUAAUUAAUGUCAUGCAAAGAGACAAAUGCAAAAUACGUUUCAAAGGUGAAGAUACAUCCGUUCCAAACAAAAGUGAUGUAAUGGCCUUUAAUGCCAUUAGCCUUGACAAUAUGUUUCUAAAAUUAAACUCUCUUACUUGCAACUCCUUUUCUUGCAAAUCAUAUAUAAGAAGAGGCUUUGGUGAACAUAACACAACAUUACCAACAUAAACAAAAAGAAGAGAAAAACUUCUUCUUCCUUUCUCCUUAUUCUUAGAAUAUUGUUGGGCAAUUGGUUUUGAGCAACCUCCAAACUCUCAACCACGAGUGCAUGUGUCUGAGAGUAACUGUGGAACCUUGGGGAGCGAUCGGCUACAACGAUUUGCACCGGAGUUGAGCCGAAAUCACUUUCAAGGCAGUGGCUUGCCACAACACAGUGUUUGUGAUAAGUUAUUUACUACUUUAUAAUUCCAAUCAAAUAUCAAUAUUAUAGUAUUUUUCCCAACAAUUUGAAAGCGAUUUACUAACAUACAAUAUUGAUAAAUGGCUAUUUCUUUGAACAAAUUUUUUUUUGAUUUGUCAAAAUUUGAGCCUUUGGAUGGAAGUAAUUUUAAACGAUGAUCACAAAUUUUUUUAAUUUUCUUUGAACAAUUAGAAGUUGAUUAUGUUUUAUUUAAAGAACCUUCUAUGAAUGGUUCUAACACCACUAUUGAUUCUAGCAAUGUUAUGGUUGUUGAUGAUGUUGUUAAAAAGAAGUUUGAAAAGGAUAACAAAAUUGUGAGAGGACAUUUGUUAAAUCAUAUGAAAAAUUCUUUAUUUGAUUUAUUUUUAACCUAUAAAUCUACCAAAGAAAUAUGGGAUAGUUUGAAAAAGAAAUAUGGUACUGAUGAUGCAGGAAAGAAAAAAUAUAUUGUCGGUCAGUGGAUUAAAUUCCAAAUGGUUGAUAAUAAGUCAAUAAUGAAACAAGUUCACUAAUAUGAGAACUUGACUGCUGAUGUUUUCAACGAGGACAUGAAGAUGUGUGAGAUAUUUCUGCUUGAAAAAUUCCCACCAUCUUGGAGUGAUUAUAGAAAUCAAUUAAAACAUAAGAAAAAGAAUUUAACUCUCCAAGAACUUAUUCGUCACAUGAGGACUGAAGAGGCGAACCGUCUCAAAGAUAAGAUGGAAGAAUUUUUCUCUUAAUUCUUCUAAAGCUAAUCUUGUUGAAUCUUCUGGUACUAUUGUGAAAGACAGGUUUAAAGGCAGACAGAAGAAAGUCUCGAAAAAGGAACAUAUGAAGAAGAAAAAUCAAUUCAACAAGCCGGAGAGCCAAAUUCAAAAAUUUAAGAGUCCUUGUUUUGCUUGUGGAAAAGUUAGUCACAGGGUUGCCAAGUGCUAUCAAAGAAAGAGGCAGGACUCAAAGUAGGAAGGACAAAAUGAUGUCCAACCUCGUCUUGCUGAGGGUAAUGAAGUGAUUGUUGUUGUAGUCGUUGAGGCAAAUCUGGUGGCUAACAAAACUGACUGCUUGCUGAGGGUAAUGAAGUGAUUGUUGUUGUAGUCGUUGACGCAAAUCUAGUGGCUAACAAAAUUGACUGGGUGCUAGACACAAGCGCUUCAAGGCAUUUUUGGCCAAUAAGAAUUUAUUUUAUGACUUUGAGGAGUCCAUUGAUGGCGAGUGUGUAUAUAUGGGUAACUCUACUACUGAUGUAGUAAUGGGUAAUGAAAAAGAUUUACUUAAAUUAACUUCCCUUGAACAAUGUUUUGUAUGUUCCCUCCCUCCGUAGAAACUUAGUUUCCGGAGCACCUCUCAACAAAGUAGGCCUUAAACUUGUUUUGAAGCUGAUAAAAUGAUUAUUUCUCGUGGAGGAGACUCCGUUGGGAAGGGAUAUCUUAGUGGGGGAUUAUUUGUAUUGAACAUUGUUCAAGAGAUUGUCAAUAACGCAAGUAUUUCAAAUUCUGCUUAUAUUAUCGAGUUUAUUAAUUUAUGGCAUGGUAGACUAGGUCAUGUUAAUAUUGCAUCUAUUAAAAGACUUAGAAAAAUGGAAUUAAUUCCUAUGAUAAAAACUGAUGAGUUUUCUAAAUGUCUUGUGUGUAGAAGCAAAGCAUGCCAAGAAACCUUUCAAAUUUGUUAUUAGUAGAAAGACCGAAUUACUUGAACUAAUACAUUCAGAUUUAGCAAAUUUCAAGAACAUUGCUAGCAAAGGUGGAAAAAAGUAUUACGUUACUUUUGUCGAUGACUUUUCUAGAUACACUAAGGUAUAUCUUCUUAAUUCUAAAGAUGAGGCUGAAAGCAUGUUUUUGAAAUUCAAAGCAGAAGUGGAAAAUCAAUUAGACAGGAAAAUCAAGAGAUUUAGAUCGGAUAGGGGCAGUGAAUAUUGUACUAAAACUCUAAAGGAUUUUUGUGAGAAAAUGGUAUUAUACAUGAGGUUAGUGCUCCCUAUACUCCCCAACAAAAUGGUGUAGCCGAACGAAAAAAUAGAACCCUUAAAGAAAUGAUGAAUUUUAUGCUUCUAAGCUCUGGUCUAUCUGAAAAUAUGUGGGGAGAAACAGUCUUGCUUGCGUGCUAUAUUCUUAAUAGAGUCCCUCAUAAGAAGUUAGACAAGACCUCAUAUGAGUUGUGGAAAGGAUUUGCCCCUAACUUGAAAUUUUUGAAAGUGUGGGGGUGUUUGACUAAGGUUGGUCUACCUGAUUUUAAACGAGUAAAUGUUGGUUCUAAGACUUUUGAUAUUGUCUUUAUUGGUUAUGCUCAAAAUAGUGCUGCAUAUAGAUUUAUGUCUCUCAAUGAUCACACUAUUUGUGAAUCUAGCGAUGCAAAAAAUUUUGAGCAUAUUUUUUCUUUGAAAAAUAAUAUGUUGAGUGAUGUGCAAAAUAAUGCUUCUACAUCUAUGUCUGUUAAUUCUCAUGUUGUGCCUUCUUCUAAUGUUAUUUCUAAUGAGCAUGAAAAUGAACUUAGAAGGAGUAAAAGACGUAGAAUUGAGACAAGUUUUGAACCUGAUUUUAUCACUUCUUUCUUAACUGAAAAUUUGGAUAUUAAUAUUUUAAAUGAUGAAUCAGUGUCUAUCUAUUUAAUAGAAGAAGACCCUAAGACUUAUGAUGAAGCUAUGAGAUCAAUAGAUGUUAUAUUUUGGAAAGAGGUAUUAAAAGUGAAUUAGACUCUAUAGUUUCUAAUCACACUUGGAACUUGUAUGAUUUACCUAAAGGUUGUAAACUCAUAAGUAGCAAGUGGAUAUUUAAGAAGAAAUUGAGACAUGAUGGUACAAUUAAUAAAUAUAAGGCUAGAUUUGUUAUUAGGGGUUUUAACCAAAAGAAAGGAGCUCAAUUCAAUCAAAUCAUGAAAUUAGGCUGGGCUGGCCCAAUAGUCCAAGCCCAUGCCUGUGGCUAUAUUUCAAUGGAAAAUUUUUCAAAAUGUCAAAAUUUUGAUAUUUAAUAGGAUCUCUUAGCCAUACUCUUCUUUUAAUAUUUAUUUAAAAUGUCAAUAUUUUAGUUUGUUAUAUAUCUUAUGUAUGUAUUUUCUUAUUUGUAUGAUUUGCAAGAAACACAAUUAUUUAAUAACAGAAAGGAGAAAAUCAGGGGAGAUAAUAUUUAAAAAAAGGAACAUAUCACUUAAAAUUCUCACCAGUUACAAUUUCAAAGAAAUCAACUUUUUUUUUAUUAUGUUUUCAUUGUAAUUGUAUACCAAUAUUUUUUACAUUUAAUGUGUUGACUUUACCUUUCAAAUUAAAUUUGAUAUUUUACUUUCAUAGUGAAAACUACAAAUCGUAUCCCAGUGAUCAAAAUUGUAUUACAUGAUUGCCAAAUAUAUUUUUCUUUUAUUUGUAUUAUAAAAAUAUCACUGAUUGUAUCCCAAUAUAAUUAAUCAUUACAUAUGAAUAUGAUUUAUGAAAGGAUACAAGAUUCUGAAAAAAAAAAUUAGCAUACAUGGUGGAAAUAAUACAAUCUAUUGAGGAAUGAUACAAUAUUCUAAAAAAAAUUAGAAGUUGGCUAUGAAAGAAACAGAGAUACAAGAUUCUGGAAAAAAAUUUAGCAUACAUAGUGGAAAUAAUACAAUCUGUUGAGGAAUGAUACAAUAUUCUAAAAAAAAAUACAAACUGGCUGUGAAAAAAAUAGAAUACAUAUAUGCUUAAGAAAUAUGAAUCAAUUUGACAUACGUACUUGAAUGACCACAAACUUAAAAGAAAUACAAUGUUCUUAAUAAAAUUACAAAUGCUGAGAAAAACAAAAAUAAUUAACAAACAAAAAUUAAUAUGAAUACAAUCCUGGUAUGAAUACAAUUCAACUUUCUUCUCUCAAUCUCUCUUUCUUCUUCUUCUUCGUCUGCUAUGUUGUUUUUUUUCUGAUUUUUUUUUUUUAUCAAACUCAAAUCCAAAUCCGUAUUCACUUGUGCAUAUAUUAGUAACCCUAUAAACAAAAUUUGAAAUUAUUAAUUAUGAAUGUAUAAAAAAUCAAACAAUAUAUGAUGUAUGAAUGCUAAUGUAUGUAGAUUACUAUAAUCUAUUAAAUCUCAAAUAUGAAAACAAAAUCACAAAAAUAAUAAUUGAACAAUAGAGUUUAAAAGACGAAAAAUUCGAAAUACAUAGAAGAGGGAAAUCUCAUAAAAUACUUGGUGAAUAUGAGAACCUCACAAAAAAAUCAAACAAUAUUAUUCAAAGACGAAAAAUCCGAAAUACAAAAUACUUGAUAAUUGUGAAAACAAAAUCACAAGACAUCUCACAAAAUACUUGUUGACUUCGAAUUUACCUUUAUCCAUGGUUGAAAAAUCUUUUGAAUUAAUUGUGAGAUUUCUUGAACAAAGUGUAGGAAAUUGGAAGAGUUGAUUUUCUUGAAUAAGGAAAGGCGAUAACAAUGGUGAAAAGGAAAGAGAGAGAAAUGAGCAAUUUGGGGUAAAACCUAGAAAGAGAGGUAAGUGGGUAAUGGGGGUAUAAUUAUUUUUAUUUUACGGAUGAGGGAGUAAAAAAGGGUCUAACUUGAGCAUGAUUUGAGAAAUAAAAGGAAAAGAAAUUAAUUAUAUUAGGAUACAAUUAAUCUUCUAAAAUAUUGACAUAUUGACAUUUUUAAUAAUUAUUUUUAAGUGUAGAUAUUUUUUAUAAUUAUAUUAGGGAUUAUGACUAGUUUGCUAAUUUUUCCUAUUUUGAUUAUUCUUUAGAUAUGACUUCUAUAAAUAGCUAUUUGUGAACUUCACCUCAUCAUAUAUGGCAAAUUAGGCACUUUCAGGACAACAAGGGUUACAACUUUCAAUUGACAAUUGGCACAAACAGCCGCAGACGUAUAAAAGUUAUAUUUUAUAAAUUUAUAAGAGAGAAAAAGUUGAUUUAUAUUUUCAAAUAAUUAUCCUACAUUAGCAAAAAUUGCUUUCAAAGCAAUGACUUGCCACCACACAAUGUUUUAUUUUAUAAGUUAUUUUUGUUCUCAUUUUGUUAUUAAUUAUCAAACUAGUUUUGAAUAUGUAGCAAGAGUUAAUGGGAAAUGGAGGGAAGAUGAAAAGAGAGGAACUUGAAAAGUUGGGAACUUGAAGAAUUGGAAACUUGAAAAGUCCUUUUAUGCUUUAGUGAAAAGGCAUUUCUCCCUCAUCGGUGGUGGAAAGAAAAAUAAAAGAGUUUAAAUAUAGAAACACUCCUAUUAAUUGUUAAAAGGGUUGGAAAGAGGGACCCCUUCGCACCGUCGUCGUCGUCGCUCGCUCGCUCGGCUUCGGCGACAAAGUUUGUUUAAAUUAUUUAUUUAAUUAAUUAAAUUAAAUUAAAUGGCCAAAACGUCAAAAUGUUUCAAUUAAUUAGUUAAUUAACCAAAAUGUUUCGGCUAUUCAGUUAAUUGACCGACCUGACUCGGAUCCGCGCGCGACCCAUUUUAUUUAAAUUCUUUUCCGUUUUAUUUAAAUUUCCCGCCGUUGGAAGUGACUGUUCUAAAAGGUUGCAACUUUCAUGAACAGUCAUGACCGUUUGAAAGGUUGCAAACUUUCGUGAAUGGUCGUGUGGAUUCUGAAAGGGUUGAUUCUUCAGAUUUAUUAAUUACGAUUUUUUCUGAUUUCUUCUUCUUCUUCUGCACAAAGUUUCUUCAUAUACUUUACUGUUAUUGAGUGGUUCGAUGAUACCAGAGUUUUGGGUAUCAAUACACUGGUGAUUGAGAUCAUUCUAUCCUGGGAGGACAUAUUCCAAAUCAAACCUCAAAUACUAGAGGGGAAUAAUUUCUUUAAGGGGGCACUGUGCAGUCAGUGGGCUUGAUCUUUUCCGUUCUGUCUUUUUCCAGAUUCUAGUAUGUUUUUCAGAUUUUAGUUGUUCUAAAUUAAUUUCUGUUCUUCUAUUUUUACUAGUUCAUUAAAACUUUGAUUACUUCGUGUUUCUGCAAAGUUUAUUGGAAUCAGAAAUUCUGUUUUAAACACAGAUUGACAACAAUUAUAACAAAUUGUUCGAUUUCAGCAGUCCCAUAAUGGAUCAAAAAGAUUUAUAUUGAAUGUCCUGCUCCUGCCUGAACUUUCCCAUCAACCAAACCAUACUCCAUUAAUGCAUUCUUUUAGUUUUGUAUAGGUCUUCGAUCAAUAUUGAUCUCGGAGGUUUUGGUACUUCAACUCGUCCAAUGUACUUUAUUUUUCUUUAAAUAAACACAAUGGGGGUCGAUGCCGAAUCUGUUAUGAAUAUGAGAAUCAAAAGUUACGCAUUGUUAUCAAUGUAACAGUAAAGCUAGUUACAAAAUGUUAGUUACAAAAGUUUGUUAUAAUGUUAGUUAAAGGUAACUCUAGUUAAUUUAGACUAACUAGCUUGUACAGUUAAGAUACACUAUAAAUAGAGUAGUGUAGGCAUUAUUUGUAUUGUAUCAGAUUAUCAUUCAAUACAGUGAAAAGUUCUUCUUCUUUGAUUGAAUCAUCUGCUCUAUAAUUCUUCAUGGUAUCAGAGCCAUGGAUGCUCUCCUGAUGUAUUCCGCAAAUUAGGUUGUUAAACUCUUCUGCUUGCAGUGCACACGAAAGGCUCUCCAACAGAGUCUGCAUUAUCUUAGAAGCAGUCCUGUUUUUACUUCGUUUGUUGCUCCUGAUUCAGUGAAGAUCUUCAUCAAUGACGAUAGGUGAAGGCUCCAAUCCUGACACUCUUACUCCUUCAGCUGGUGGUAGAGAAGCCAUAGUUGAUUCACAUCAUCCUUUGUUUCUUCAAGCGUGUGACACUCCAGGUAGUUCACUGGUCUCUACUCAAUUAAUUGGAUCUGAAAACUAUUCUUUGUGGAGCAGGUCUAUGAAGAUAGGUCUGCUAGGCAAAUGUAAAAUAGGAUUUGUGGAUGGAUCUAGUUCUAAAGAGAAGUUUCAAGCUUCCUUCCAUAAUAUGUGGGAGAAAUGUAAUGCAAUUGUCCUUUCAUGGAUCAUGAUUUCUGUUAGUCGAGAACUUCUCAGUGGGAUAGUUUAUGCUAAUAGUGCUCAACAAGUUUGGAAUGACCUGAAGGAAAGGUUUGAUAAGGUUGAUGGAUCACGUAUAUUCUAUCUACAUAAGGAGAUUGCUACACUCACUCAAGGAAUAUUGUUUGUUUCCAUCUAUUUCUCCAGGUUUAAAGAGCUUUGGAUGGAGUUUGAUUCUCUCAUGCCCUGUCCUGGGUGUGACUGUUUAGUUUCAAAGACUUAUGCAAUUCAUUUUGAGUAUCAAAGGCUUAUGCAGUUUCUCAUAGGUCUCAAUGAGUCUUACAACCAAUGUAGAAGCCAAAUUAUGAUGAUGGAUCAUGUUCCCAGUGUGAACAAAGCCUAUUCACUAGUGAUUGUAGAAGAGAGUCAGAGGAUCCUUGGUAAGGCAAAUACUGUUGUUGAGAUGCCUUCUAACCAUGGAUACAAGAGGCUCUAGCCUUCUUUAGUGGCAGUAAUCAUACCUACUCAGGCUCCAGAGGAUCGGGAUCUGGUGGUCCUGGUACUACUGGAUCUACUUCCAGACCUAAGAAGCCAUUUAACAGUUAUUGUUUUGUGAUUACUGUAAUUGGAAAGGUCACACAAGGGAUCACUGCUACAAACUUCAUGGUUAUCCAUCUGACUGGAAAGGUAAGAAGAAAAUCAGUCCUGGUUCAACUAGCACAACUAGUUUUGCUGCUGCUAGUUCUGGUCCUAGUAGCCUCUCAAGCAGAUCUCCAUCAGGUGUUAGCAAUACUGGUGUCUCUCAUGCAUUUAUGACUAACCUGCAGCAUCAACAGUUUCAACCUCAUGCAACUUCACAGCCACAACAUCCUCAUUUCUCCCACCAGCAGUACAUGCGGAUCCUGCAAUUGCUAGAUCAGGGAAAUGGGAAGACUACCGCUGAUGCUCUUGUGUCUACCUCAGGUACAUCAGGUUUGUUUCCUACUUCCAAGUGGAUAUUUGAUUCAGGAGCUUCCAAACAUAUGGUUCAUAGUCUGCGUAUGCUCAAUCACUAUACUACCUUGUCUGAGUCUCACGAAGGAAAAAUGUAUCUUCCUACUGGCAAUCUUGCACCAGUUAGUCAUAUUGGCUCAUCUCAGAUCUUAGGAGGGGCUGAGAUCACUAAUAUGCUUCAUGUUCCUACUUUUCAAUACAACUUAUUAUCUGUUCCUAGACUAACAAAGGAGUUGAAAUGCAGUGUUAUGUUCUAUCCUAAUUUCUGCAUUUUCCAGGACCUCUCCAAUGGAAAAGUGAGGGGGAUUGGCAAGUUGGAGAAUGACAUGUAUGUGAUUACUGCUGACUGUCAUUUGCAUUCUCAAGGAGCAGAAUUGAGUUCACCUAAAGAUCAAGCUAUUGCAGUUUCUAAGUCUUGUCUUGUACCUUCUUUACAUUCAUCUAGAAUAAGUCUAUCAUUGUGGCAUAAAUGCCUAGGUCAUGUACCUUUUAAUACUCUUAGACAAUUUAGUUCUUUGCAACAGUUGCAUCCUACUACUGAUGCACCUUAUACUGUAUGCCCUUUAGCUAAACAAUCAAGACUAUCUUUUCCUUUAAGUGCUACUUCUACUACUGCUUGCUUUCAACUUUUACACGCUGAUGUAUGGGGUCCCUAUAGAGUUCCAACUCAUGAUAAUAACAGGUAUUUUUUAACCUUAGUAGAUGACUACUCAAGGUAUACCUGGAUAGUUUUGCUUCCCUCCAAAUCUGAGGUCAUAGUUGCACUCAAAAAUUUUCUUAUUAUGGUUGCAAAUGUUUUCUCUUCCUUAGUCAAAAUAUUAACGACAGAUAAUGGCUGUGAGUUUUUUAAUUCCCAAAUGACUGUUCUCCUGGAGUCUCUAGGUAUUUUACACCAAAGUUCAUGCAUAUAUACCCCUCAACAAAAUGGAGUUGUUGAAAGGAAACAUAGACAUAUACUUAAUGUUGCUAGAGCCUUGAGGUUUCAAUCUAGCAUGCCUCUUAAAUUUUGGGGUGAGUGUGCUCUUACUAGUGUCUAUUUGAUCAACAGAUUGCCUUCAUCUAUUUUACACAACAAGACAUCUUAUGAGUUGCUUUAUCUUAGAUCUCUUUCUCUUGAUCAUCUUCGAGUCUUUGCGUGUCUUGCUUUUGCUUCUGAAGUCAGAAAGGUUGACAAGUUUACUCCCAGAGCUUUCCCUACUGUGUUCUUGGGGUAUUCUACAUUACAAAAAGGGUACAAAUUGUUUUCUCUUCAUACUUAAGAGUUCUUAGUGUCCAGAGAUGUAGUUUUCAAAGAGGACAUAUUUCUCUUUACUCAAACCACUUCCUCAUGUCCUCCUUUGUUUCCUAUCUUUCAGUUUACAGAGUCCUUUACUAAGUCCACUCCAGUUCCUCCCAUUGCUACUCUUUAUUCUUCUCUUUGUCCAGCUUCUAUAGUAUCUGAAUGUCCCUUUUCUCCUGCCUAUGCAUCUGAUAUGUCUGCAACUGUUCCCUUAAGAAGAUCCUCUAGAAAUUCCAAACCUCCAAUUUGGCUUCAUGACUAUGUUACUACUCAGCCUAAGUCCACUUGUCUUUAUCCUUUAUCCAAUCAUGUCAGCUAUCGCCAUUUGUAUCCACUUUAUGGCUUAGCCUUAGCUGCAUAUUCCAGCAUCCUUAAGCCUAAGUCUUCCAUAAGGCUGCUCUUAAUCCUUUGUGGGUCGUAGCUAUGCAAGCUAAGAUCAAAGCCUUGGAAGAGAAUCAUACCUGGUCUAUCACUGAUCUUCCUUCUGAUAAACAUCCAAUUGGCUGUAAAUGGGUGUUUAAGGUGAAAUAUCUUGCAUCUGGUGCUGUUGAAAGAUACUAGGCUAGACUUGUUGCAAAGGGGUUCAAUCAGAAAGAAGGCUUGGAUUAUUCUGAAACUUUCUCCCAUGUUGCUAAGAUGGUUACUGUGCGGUCUGUUCUAGCUGUGGCCUCUGCUAAACACUGGCUUGUGUUCCAAAUGGAUGUCCAUAAUGCAUUUCUCCAAGGUGACCUGGUUGAGGAUAUGUAUACGGUUGUUCCUCCAGGCUUUUGCAGACAGGUGGAGUCUGGUAAAGUCUGCAAAUUACACAAGUCACUAUAUGGUUUAAAGCAGACACCUAGGCAAUGGAAUUUUAAACUAAUAGAAGCAUUACUUCAGCUGGGAUUUGUUCAAAGCCACUAUGACUAUUCUCUAUUUACCAGAAGUGAAAAUAAAAAGUUGAUAAUAAUUCUUGUUUAUGUUGAUGACCUUCUGAUAACUAGAAGCUGCAAGAAGCUGAUUGACAGGACCGGGAAUGAUCUGCAACUUAAAUUCAAAAUGAAAGACCUAGGAGAAUUGAAGUUUUUCCUUGGAAUUGAAUUCGCCAGAUCAAAAGAAGGUUAUAUUAUGAGCCAACGUAAGUAUGCCUUGGAACUUGUCUCAGAAAUGGGUCUAAGUGGUGCCAAGCCAGUCAACACUCCACUGGAUCCAAACCUCAGACUAACCUCUAUUGAAUAUGACUCACAUGUACAAGAGGCAAACACUACAUCAAGUGACAAACCUUUGGAAGAUAUUGGUAGAUAUCAAAGCCUUGUAGGGAAACUGUUGUAUCUAACUAUGACCAGGGUAGAUAUCUCCUUUGCAGUACAAGUUCUAAGUCAAUAUAUGCAUGCACCCAAAGAGUCUCAUAUGGAAGCUACACUUAGAGUAGUCAAAUACAUCAAGUCAGCUCCAGGUUUGGGUUUGUUUAUGCCCUCACAAGAUUCUAAUCAAUUGACUGUUUACUGUGACUCUGAUUGGGGUACUUGCUUACAAACGAGAAGAUCUGUGACUGGAUACUUAGUGAAGUUUGGAAAUGCUCUUGUAUCUUGGAAGGCAAAGAAGCAAGAAACAAUUGCUAAAAGUUCUGCAGAAGCUGAGUUUAGGAGUAUGGCAUCUGCAGUAGCUGAAAUUACUUGGCUCAUUGGCAUACACAGUGAACUAGGAGUAACCAUCAAACAACCAGUUGAUCUAUUCUGUGACAGCAAGGCUGCAAUUCAGAUUGCAGCCAACCCUAUUUUUCAUGAGCGAACUAAGCAUUUUGAUAUUGAUUGCUAUUUUGUUAGAGAGAAACUGCUUAAAAAAAUGAUUCAGACACAUCAUGUAUCCACAAAAGAUCAGCUGGCAGAUCUGCUCACAAAAGGUUUAUGGAAAGCUCCACACUCACAUCUUAUGUCCAAGCUGGGAAUGAAAGACAUUUUUCAGCCAUCAGCUUGAGGAUGGGUGUUAUGAAUAUGAGAAUCAAAAGUUACGCAUUGUGAUCAAUGUAACAGUAAAGUUAGUUACAAAAGUUUGUUAUAAUGUUAGUUAAAGGUAACUCUAGUUAAGUUAGACUAACUAGCUUGUACAGUUAAGAUACACUAUAAAUAGAGUAGUGUAGGCAUUAUUUGUAUUGUAUUAGAUUAUCAUUCAACACACAGAAAAGUUCUUCUUUGAUUGAAUCCUCUGCUCUGUAAUUCUUCAGAAUCCCCUAUCACCACCGAAGGUGAAAGCCUGGAUGGAUGAUAUUAAAAUAAAAAUAAAAACGAGACCUUCAGCCUUUAGAACAAAAGAGAUUAUAAUGCAACUUAAUGUCAUCUAGUCCAAAUUUUGCACUAAGAGAAAUUCACUGCCGGUAAUAUAAUAAGAUAUAUGCUUUUGCUGAGAAAUAUUGGAAACAGAUUUUGUCAGCAUAAAAUGCACUUCUUGUUGGUUGUUAGGUAAUUAGACUUGCUUUCAACUUUCAAGCAUAACGAAUAGUUUAGUUCAACAUGUAUAGUAGAAAAAACAAUAGGCAAAAAAUGGUCUAAAUUUCAAAUGAUUGGUCGACGAAUAUAGAAAAGACUUAGAAUAGCAAUUCAUCUUCUGUAGGAAACAAGUACUGGUCUAUCUAUCAAGUUGGUAAUUUCAAAAAUCAUCAAUACUUCCAACCAAAACAAAUUGAAUUAGUUAAUUGUACUCCCAAAGUAAAAGGAUAUUACACUUUUAGUCACUAAGAGGUAGUUUGACCGGAGAUAUUAGAGAAAAUAAUAUUUGUAUUAGCUUUGAUACUACAUAAUUUAUUGUUUGGUAUACCUAUAUAAUUAAUUAUAUAGAGUGAUACAUUAUAUUCAGUAUUAUUAUAUAUUCACCAUGACAUUAACAAUAUAUACUAGUACUAUUCCUAUAUAUUCUAGUACAGUAUACUCCAAUUGGAUUACAUUUUUUAGAAAUUUAUACGAUAUAUAAUAUAUAUGUGUUAGUAUUUGAUGCAACAAACCAGACAAACGAUAAAUGAAAUAUCAGCAUGAACAUUACUAACCAUAUUAAGUAGUAUUCUUAUGUGGCAUUUCAAUCCCUAAAAGAUAAUAAUUACAUAUAAGUAUAUAACCAUUUAUAAAAGGCAAGACUUCGUUACACUACGACAAAGUGAUAUUUAGUGGGAAUCGAUUUUUCUCUUAGUAUUGCCACAAAAAAAAAUUGCGACAAUAUUUUGCGAUAAUUGAGUUAAUUCAAAGAUGCUACAGUUUUUCACGAUAUUUAUAUAGAAUGCUGAUAGUAAGUAUCAAAAAUUAUUAUUAUUAUUAAAUAUAUUAUAACAAUUAGAAUCUUAUUUUAAUCAAUCAAAUUUUAGUCAUUAAUUCUUGCAUAUGCCAUGUGUCUCACAUCCAAGCAAGAACUUGGGAAAAAUGAAGAAAAGAGAAAUAGAGAGUAACCGGAUCCAUUAUAAGGCAUAUUGUCAUUUGUCCGUAUUUAUAAGUUAAAUUUUAAAAAAAUUCAAACAACUGCCAGUGGCCAUAAAUGAAAAUGAUGCAUCCAGAAAAAUACGUCUGGACCUUCUGUAGUAAGGAAUGGUCUCUUCCAAGUCCAAUAAAAAAGACUGCAAAGUCCAUCCACUACUACUGUAACAUGAGGCUAAACUGCACUCUCAAUACAUAGAAAAAUUAACCAACAAUGCAUUAUCUAUCACACAUUCAUAUCCUGGAUGAGAUAAGAUUCACCAUCUUCCGACACGUGGCACUUCUAUUCUUGUCUAUUAAAAUAAAAGACACUUAGCUCCAAUUUCUUAUCUUUCAUGUGGCCAUUAAAUUUUGUAAUAUCAACAGCCACAUAAUCCAAUGGUCACCCUUCAUCUAAGAUGAGGUUUCCUUUGUUUCUAUCCGUUAGAUUAAAAAAAACGUCUAACACCUUAUCAUUAUAUAAAGGGAGUAAGCCACAGUGUAAUAAGCAUCUUAAAAAAAAAACAAGUUUCUUUGAAGUAAAAAAAAAAAAAACGUUUUAUAGCUAAGUAGUAACGUAAUGGCUUCCUCAAUUGUCUCCUCAGCAGCCGUUGCUACCCGUAGCAAUGUUGCUCAAGCUAGCAUGGUCGCACCCUUCACCGGACUCAAAUCCGCCGCGUCUUUCCCCGUUACUAAGAAGAACAACAACGUUGACAUUACUUCCCUUGCUAGCAACGGUGGACGUGUUAGAUGCAUGCAGGUUCAAAUAAUAAUUAUCAGUAUAUAUAUAUAAAAUUUAAAUUAACUAGUUGUCGUUUAUUUAUAAAAUAAAUGUGUUAAUGUAGGUGUGGCCACCAAUUAACAUGAAGAAAUACGAGACAUUGUCAUACCUUCCUGACUUGUCCGAUGAGCAAUUGCUCAAGGAAGUUGAGUACCUUUUGAAAAAUGGAUGGGUUCCUUGCUUGGAAUUCGAGACUGAGGUCAAUAUCUCCUACAUACUUUUACAUGUGUAAUUUAAUUUGUUGAAGGAGAAAAUAAAUGUAUGUUAUAUUGUUGUGUACAGCACGGAUUUGUGUACCGUGAGCACAACAGCUCACCAGGAUACUACGAUGGUAGAUACUGGACCAUGUGGAAGUUGCCUAUGUUUGGGUGCACUGACGCAACCCAGGUGUUGGCUGAGGUUCAAGAGGCCAAGAAUGCGUACCCACAGGCCUGGAUCCGUAUUAUCGGAUUCGACAACGUUCGUCAAGUGCAGUGCAUCAGUUUCAUUGCCUACAAGCCAGAAGGAUACUAAAUUUCAUCAAACCUAUAAUUAAUUACUCCUAUCGACAUGUUUUUUGCGUUUUGUACCGGUGUAUUUUCCUCGAUUCCGACCAAGUUAUGAGAAAUUAAUAAUGAUGAAUCUUUAAUUAUAUGUUUUUUUGUGGUGUGUAUGAGUUUUAUUAUCCAAACUAAAAAUCUCUCUUUAAAUAUGAAAACGACACAUUAACUACUCCUUUUAUCCUAACAACUUUAGCACAACGAUUAAAUAGCCACCGCAUGUGACAUUAAUUAUCUUAAAUGAAAAGAAUUGUAUCACAUUGAGACAUCGAUUCAAUAAUUAGUGAGAAUGAAAAAGACUUCAUUUUCUGCCUGGAAAAAUGCCGUAACUUAAGUAAGAUUUUUUUUUUAUUUCACAAAUUAGUGAAUUCAAAUCUUACACUUUUGAUUCAUCAAUGUAAAAAGAAUAAAUUAAAAAUCCUAUUAUUUGUAUUAUUUAUGUGAGGCACAAAAUAAAUAUCUUCGUAAGAGUAACCAACCUUCUAGGCUUAUCAUGAUCAGUUGGGCCCUGGAUGUUUACACUUGUGGCCACUGGCCAUGCUCAACAAGGACCGGUCAAUUAUUGUAUUUUGUUGUUAUCCUUUUGUCUUUUUUAUUGGUUUUUUUUUUUAAAGAGUUUGAAGUUUUAUGUAUCGAAUAGUUGAUAUGUUAAUAGUUAUUAAAUACAAAUUUAUAUAUAUAUUCUAAAUUAACGUAUAAUAUACAUAAAUGGUGUAUAAUUUUUUUAUAUUUGACUAACGGCUAAAAUUCAUUUAAAUUGAGCAAGUAAAUGUAUUAUGACCCCUAAAUUUUUUUAGCUCAAACACCAAUUUAGUGAUUUUUGCUUUAAAAAAACUGAAAAUUGUAUUGUUGGUGAUCAGUAGAAAGUGUUGAAGAAGAGAAAUCAUUGUAAGUUUGAAGAAGAGAAAAUACAUAAAACUCCCCCCUAAACUUGGCAGUACAACUUACUUUAGCACUUAAACUACACAGGCUUUUAAUAUCCCCAUUAACAUCUUUGAAGUGAAUUAAAUACAACUCUAAAUACUGACUCCUCCACAGCGAUAGCACUACUGGAGCAUGACCAUUCGCAAUACACUAACAUUAUAUCUGAAUGCAGGUCACUAAUGCAGCAGGGGAAUACCAAAACCACUCCACACAUUCAGGGAGUAGAACAAGGUGGCGGACAUACUGGCUAAAAUGGGUAGGACAAUACAAUCCAACAGCGGGAGGAUGCAGAUUUUGGAAGCCCCACCACAUUAUGCCUUCAAAGCAUGGGAAGCUGACAAGAAUGGGCUUUAUUUUGAUAGAAUGGUAGUAGUAACUAGUCCCAACGAGACAACGGAGAAUCCCCCUAUUUCAAACUAUGUAAUGAACAAUGAAGUCCGUGUGCUUCACCUUUAAGCUUUUUAUAUAAUUACUCUAUUUCUAUCAAAAACAAAUAAAUACAACCCUGAGAAUAGAAUACCACUCUCACCUGUCACAUCAUAACCAUGUAAGCACCACGUCAUUAAUUUUCAAUCUUUUUUUUGCUUAUUCACCUUUUCUCUUAACCAUUUUCUUAAAAUUUAUUACACUAAUCAAUUAAUUUAAAAUACAUUUUAAAAUCAAAAUUGCCCCAUCUUCUUCCACCCCUUCUCUUCUACCCCCCCCCCCCUACUCUUUC